UGCUAUUUCUAUUUGGUAUUAAGAGUAGAGCUACUAUGCUAUCGGAAGCAUAGAGAAUCUGGUGCUUCUGAUUUUUUCGCCCUUAGAUCAACUUUUUUGAUUAUUUUUAACCUUUGAAUUAAUACUACUAUCCUGUGGGGACCACUCAAUUCUAGAGUACUACUCAACUCUGGGAAACUGCAAUCAUCCUAACUGUAUAAUUUUUGAUCCAAGGGCCAAAAAAUCGGAAGUAUCAGAUUUUCUAUGCUUCCGAUAGUAUGGUAGCUCUACACCGGUAUUAAUCUGUUUGCUUCGAAUUCCAUACUUAAUUCCGUCACAAACUGAAACUUUUUUCCCUAAUUCAUGAGAAAAGAAUAUAGCAUAACGGGUAUGUAGCAAGCUUCAGAAACCUAAGAAGGCAUGGCGACAUUGCUGACAUUUUAGUAAAUGUUGUAGCCUAUCGACUGCGGCAAGUGGUUGGUUGUUCUGGCCGCCGUUCGAUUUACUUGCGUGUGUUCUUUUUUUCUCAUUCGUUUUCUUGUGUAUGGAUUACUCUGUUUUAUUUUUUUCCCCUACCAUGUAGAUUCCCCCAAGCACAUUAAGGAGAAAAAAAAAAAAAAGGUCAGGAAAAAAAUUAAGAACAAUGCUAUUACUAUUCGCAACAAACUCGGCAUUCGAAUAAGGAGGAAAGAGUCCACUUUUCUUCUAUGCUUUUCAAGUUGCGUAUGAUGUUUUGAAAUCAAGGAACAGUAUAGCAAUGCAUGCUUUAUUCCUGUAUUUUGUUUAAUACUAUCCCUUUUAGUAUUUAUAAACUUUUGAAUUUAUGUCCUCUAGUUUUUUUGAGAGGGAAAACUUCAAAACAAAACCCAUGUGUUUUUAUUUUUUUUCAUUUUAGUACCCUGUGGUUUAAAAUGUAUCAAGUUUGUACCAUGUGGUUUCUCACUUUAUUACUUUAGUAUCCUAUGGUUUAAAAUGUAUCACUUUAGUACCCUAUGGUUUUACACUUUAUGAUUUUAGUACCAUAUGGUUUUAAUUUUGUAUCAAGUUAGUAACUUGUAGUUUUUAAACCACAGGGUACUAAAGUGAUAAAGUACGAAACUACAGGGUACUAAAGUGAUGAAGUGCAAAACCAUAGGGUAUUAACUUGAUACACUUUAAACCACAAGAUACUAAAGUGAUAAAGUGAGAAACCACAGGGUACUAACUUGACAUAUUUUAAACCAUAGGGUACUAAAGUGAAAAAAAGUGAAACCACAAAGGAGUUUUUUGAAGUUUUCCCUUUCUGAAACUUUUCUUCUUUUUGCGAGCUGUCGGGCCUGCUAUACUGUUGGGUACUUUCUACACUCAGGUCUUGAUUAUUUAGAACUAUUGCAAACGUGUUCAAUGCUUUCUUUUUGCUGUGAUGAUCUUGCUCUUAGACGCUGAGAUAUUUGAGAAAUGCUUCUAUACACCGGUCAAUUUAAAUUUGACCAUUCAAAUUUGUGAGGUUAAGAUUGACUUUUACACAAUGGUAACAUGCUCAACAGAUUACCAAUCAAUCAUAAAGAUAAUAUUUGAAAAUAUGCAUUAGCUAAUUACCAAAUUUGAUAAUAUCCAACAAAUCUUCAUUUCCUAAUUUAAUUUUGUUACUUACCAAAUUAGAUAAUGGCUAAUUACAUAAGUGAUAAAUCUUCAUAAAUUCGAAUUUAAAAUUUAACUUGAGUUUAAACUUUAUAUUUAUAAUUGUAUAAAUUAAAUUUAAAUUUUAGAAAGAAAAAUUUAUAUUUAAACGAGUAAACAUUUGAAUUCAAAUUGUUAAUUUAAUAUUAAACUAACAUGAAAGUGCAAAAAUGUUAAUAUCUUUAAAAUUGUAAUUUAAGUUAUAGUGUAUAUAUAAACUUUUAUUAUUUAUUUAAAUAUAAGAUUUCUACAUUUUAAAGUAAGUUGAAAUUGUUAAUUCAAUAUUGAAAAACAGCAUUAAAUUUCAAAAAUAUUGAUCAAAUUUAAAUUAUAAAUUUAGAUUAAAUUUAUAUUAUACUUAAAAAAUAAAUUUAGUUAACUAUUUAAACAUAAAGUUUCAAUGUUUGAAAAUUAAUUUUAAAUUAUAAAUUACUAAAUUUAUGACUCAAUGAGAUCAUAAAUUAUUAUUAAAACCGACCUUAAAAUGGAUAAUUUAAUUAAAAAUUUAUUCUCUCCAGGAUUCAAGAGCAGUAUAUAUGCAAAACUUUCCAAUAUUAGUUAUUUAACUUUCUAAUAUUAGCUCUUUCUUUUUCCAAAAAACUCCUAGAUUCACAUACCUGGUGACCGGUACUACUUGUGCAAUAGCAGAUCAUCUUUUUUUAUGCAUAAAUCUUAACCCUUCAUUGAUUAAAAAUAAACAGCUAAGAUCAGAAUGGAGUAUUGAAGCAUUGCUCUUUAAAAAAUUCAAGGACCGAGAUCUUUUUUGUGCAUAGGAGCAUUGCUCAUUAUUAUUUUUUUAUUAAAGGGGUAUGGGUGUAAUUUUUUCAAACUAUAAUUUGAUAGGAGACAUAUUUUAUACUCUGAUUUGAUUAAGAAAUCUAGUUUCUCCCAACAAACUAGAUUUCUGGUAUAUAUGAGCGAAAAUUUGGUAUUAGUGUAAAUUGCAAAAUUUUAACACAACAUGCAACUCCAAAUCUAAAACAUUUUUCUAGUUGGGCUGAUUGUAAGGAUUGAAAUGCCAUGGCACGGGAGUCGUGCCGGAAGCUUGCCGGUACGGUGCAUGCCGAAUUGUGCGGAUGCGUGCCGGUCACAAAAAAUAUAUAUAUAUUGACACGAAAUAGCAUGAAAUAUUUAUUAUUUUAACAAUAAAAUAUGUAAAUUAUUUAUUAUAUAUUUUUAUCAAAUUUUUUAAACUUUAUUGAGAUAAUUAUUCAUUAAUUUCAAGAAUACAGAGUUUUAAGUUGUGCCAUCGGCACGGGGGCUAUAUCGUGCCGAUAUAUUGCUGGCAUGCUAUGGCACGAUAAAUACACCCCUUGCCGAUAGACAUUUCACCGUUAAACUAGCAAAUAUCUCAUACCGGUCAUUAAAAAUUGUCAAUUUUGUGAGCUUUUGAUUGUAAGGUAAAUGAUAUUGAAAAAUUACGAAAUUUAUUUUCUAGAAGUUUCAAAUACUUUAGAUCAUUUUUAACGGUGUGGAUCGUCGAUUCGAAACGUCCAACAUUAAAAACAAUUUAUGAGUACGAAGGGUUCUAUGCUCAUAAGAGUAUAGUAGCCCUACUCUCUCUCUCUCUCUCUCUCUCUCUCUCUCUCUCUCUCUCUCUAUAUAUAUAUAUAGGCCAAUUUGCAUAAAAAAUUCACUUAUUUUGGGCUUUUGCAAAAUCGGGCCAUCUUUUUGGUUUUUGCAGAUUCGGUCCGCUUUUUUAGCAUACUGACCAAAAUACCCUUAUACCUUUUUCUCUUUCCUCUUUCUCUCUCCUCUUUUUUUUCUCUCGUUCUUUUUUCUUUUUCUUCCCAGAGAGCGGCGAAGACGGAGCGGAGGCGCCCUUAUACCUUUUUCUCUCCUCUUUUUUCUCUUAUUUUUUUUUUCUUUCUCUUUCCAGAGAGCGGCGAAGACAGAGCGGCGUCAUCGCCGACGCCCCCACCUUCCUCGCCUCCGAUCCUCCCAAGGCCGAACUGCGAUUUUCUUUUUUUUGCUUUUUUCUUUUUUUUUCUUCUCCGACUCUCCUCCAGUCUCUGACGACGGCGCCUCUCUCGCUCUUCCCUGCCCUUCUCGUCUCUCCUUCUCCCUCAUUCUUUGCUGCCUCCGACGACGAUGCAUCUUCGCCGACACCGACGCCGACACCGUGGAGAUCACUGCGGCGCUGCAGUCUCGGAGUGGGCGGGUCUUUAGCGGCGUCAUCACCGGCACCGUGGCUAUUAGCACAGAAGGUGACAAAAAAAUAUUAAAAAAGAAACAAAAAAAAAUAAAGAUAAAAAAUUAUAUAAAAAAAGGAUGAAGAUGAAAUUAUAUUGUUAACUGCAAAACAAAUUACAAGUUGCACUACUUAAGAUGUAAACUGCAGUUUUAAGAUGAAAAUUACACUCUUUAAACGAAAAUCACACUCUUUGGGAGAUAUUUACACUGUUUCUCUUCUUAUUGCACUCUUUCAGAUAUAAACUGCACCCACUAAGAUAAAAAUUACACUCUUUAAAUGAAAGUUGCACUGUUUCUCCUCUUGUUGCACCAUUUUUUCUCUUGGUACACUAUUUUUUACUUUAAACUGCACCCAUUUAAGAGAUAUUUAUACUUGUUCUUCUCUUGUUGCACUGUUUUUACUCUUGUUGUACUAUUUCUCCUCUUGUUACACUGUUUCUUCUUUUAAAGGGUGCAGUUUAAGAUAAAAACAGUGUAACAAGAGAAGAAAUAGUGUAACGAGAGAAGAAACAGUACAACAAGAGGAGAAACAGUAUAAAUAUCUCUUAAAGAGGUGCAGGUUAUGAUAAAAAAUGGUGUAACAAGAUGAAAAAUGGUGCAACAAGAGGAGAAACAGUGCAACUUUCGUUUAAAGAGCGUAACUUUUAUCUUAAUGGAUGUAGUUUAAAUCUGAAAGAGUGUAAUACGAAGAGAAAUAGUGUAAAUAUCUUCCAAAGAGUGUAAUUUUCGUUUAAAGAGUGUAAUUUUUAUCUUAAAGCUGCAGUUUACAUCUUAAGUGGUGUAACUCGUAAUUUUUCUUGCAGUUAACGAUGUAAUUUCAUCUUCAUCCUUCUUUUUAUAUAAUUUUUUAUCUUUAUUUUUUUUUUUUCUGUUUCUUCUAUAAUUUUCUUUUUGUCACCCUCUCUGCCAAUAGCCACGGCACCGGUGACGACGCCGCUAAAGACCCCCCGCUCCGAGGCUGCAGUGCCGCAGUGACAUCCACGGUGUCGGCGUCGGUGCCGGCAAAGAUGCAUCGUCGUCGGAGGCAGUAGAGAAGAAGGGAGAUAGAGAGACGAGAAGAGCGGGGAAGAGCGAGAGAGGCGUCGUCGUCGGAGACUGUGUAGGAGAGUCGGAGAAGAAAAAAAAAGAAAAAAACAAAAAACAAAAAAAGCCGCGGAACGACCUUGGCGGGGUCGGAGGCGAGGAAGGUGAGGGUGCGUGGGUGAGGGCAAGGGCAAGAGUCGGAGAAGAAAAGAAAAGAAAAAAGCAAGAAAAAAAAAAAAAAAAAAANCGCUCGUGUUCGGCUCGUUUACACCCCUACCUAUAAGCUCAUCCAAGCAAAGAGAAACACUUCCCAAUAUGUAUUGAUGCAAUAAAAUGGCAAAGGUUACGGCUCACUCACUGAGUGGUCUGCUAGUGAACUCAAAUGCGGUGAUUUGAAUUCAAAACCAUUCUUUUAAUAUAACUAGCGUCUGUGUUCUGUUAGCAUGUAUGAUCUCUAUUUUUUGUCUGUAUAUAUAUAUAUAUAUAUAUAUAUAUAUAUAUAUAUAUAUAUAUGGAAAGAAAGUGUUACAUUGAAACUCCGAUGUCGGCAACACAGUAAAACGCGUCCCAGGUUGCCGCCCGUUGCAAACACGUGGCAUUUCCUCAUCUAUUGGAAAAUUGUUUCCUGCACCCAGUGUAUAAAAGCAUUUUUGUACACCACAGUAUUAAUUAAAGAUUUUUAAAAAUAUUUUAAAAUUAAAAUCUAACUUAAGCACUAGAUGCAUAUAUAAAAUAUUUUAAAAUAUGAAACCCAUGGCCAACUAUAUUAGCCAGCUAUAUGAUUGAUAUCAUUAUUAUUGAUUAUUAACUUCACAAUAGUUAAUUUUUUUUUUUAAUAUCUUGUUAUUUUUUACUGAUAAGAAAUUUAAAUAAUAUAAAUCACAUAUAUUGAAUAAUAUUUUAAUUUCAAAAAGGGGUUAAACUUUAAAUACCAUCCCUAUGAUUUUGUACCUUUUCAUUUUUGUAUCGUGUGAUUUAAAAUGUAUCAAGUUAGUACCAUGUGGUUUAAUUUUUUUUUUUUCAUCAGCUCCUCCAUUAAUAUUUCGUUAAAUUAUAUACAAAAAAUUUCAGAUACCUUACCUAGAUUUAUCGAAUAUCAUUUGAAUACACUUUAGUUUUAAUUUUAUCACUGAUUUAAUGAAAAAAAUUAGUGAAAUGGAUGAUAAAAAAAGAAAAUUGAAAUCACAUAUUACUAAAUUAAUACACUUUAAAUCACAAGGUUGUAAAGUGAGAAAAUGCGAAAUCACACGGGUAGUAUUUGAAGUUUUUCCUUAAAAAAAAUACAUCAAUUAAUGUAAUACGAAAUGGAUACACCAGGUGCAUGGGGGACCAACCUGCCCCACGCAAUUCCCGCUCUUUUCUCCCCGUUUGGAUUUGUUGCUGUAGGGUGACCUGGAUUGCGACACCGACAUCCAAUAGGGAGGGGGGACAUGACACGUGGAGGAAAACGAUUGGCUGUGACGAAAAGAAAGAGACAUCUCGCCAACGGCUAAUAACCACAUAUUUUUUACACUUGAAACUUGGUCAAAUUAAUUAGUCAAAAUCGAUGGAACAAUUAAGAUUUUUUUUUUUUUCCUUUAGGAUAUUUUUGGUUCAUCUAUUUUAAUCUAUGAAUUUAGGAUAUUUUUGGUUCAUCUAUUUUAAACUAUGAAAUCAGAAUAAAAUUUAUUAAUUUUCAUAGUUAUUGUUUGAUUUAUAGAAAUCGGAUUUCGGUUCCUAUUCUACUCCGGAAUGGAAAUAUGACCGAAUUCAUUUAUGGCUCAAUUCAAUCUUGAAUCCCAAAUUGGUCCAAUCCAAAGAAAACUAUUCAAAAUUUUAUUUCUCCAACAUUUACCUCCUCUUUUUUAAUCAUUUUUCUUUCUCUUAAUCAAAUCCUCUUUCAAAAAUUUGAAAUUUCCAUUUCGAUUUCUAUUUCAAUAAUGAACCAAAUAUUUUUUGAUGAUUUGUCAUUUUAUUUUCCAUUACAAAAUAAUCCAAUUUUAUUUUUCAUUCUUAUUCCAAUUAUGAACCAAACAUGUCACUACAACAAAAACGGUCUAUAGCGACACUUUUAAAUAUCGGUAUAGAUCAAAAAAAGUGCUGUUGGCUAAUUAAAUUACCUAUACUUUUAAGAAGUGUUGCUAUAUGUGGGGUCGCUAGGUAUAUAGUGACAGUUAAAGAGUAUCGCUAUAAUCUAAAUGAGUGCUGCUAAUUUACCAAUAUUUAUUUAAGCAUCUAGCAACCGCCGGAACCCUACCUCGUUGGCUGCGGUGGCGGAUGAAGAUGAGAGGAAAGGAUUUUCGUUUAGGAUUUUAGUCGAUUGAAUAAGGGAAGAAGGGAAAAUGGUAAUCGAUUUUUCUUUUUUUUUUCUUUUUUUUUUUCUUUUCUGUUUGUAAUCGGGUCGAAUGGGCUGGGUGGAGUGGGUUGAGUAGAGUACCAUUUUAUUUUUAGUUGGAUUGGACUUUAUAUUUAGUAUUAGUAGAUUUUUUUUUAAAAUUUUGACAUAAAUGUGACACUUAUACAAAAAUGUCCCAAACAUGUGUCACUAUAACCUAAUUCUGUUGUAGUGUGUAUGCCUUUAAUGUAAUUACUUUUUCCAGCGAACAUCUGGUUAAAUACACAAAAACACAUGCAUGUGUGUUGGAUUGUAAGUAUAGUGGAUGAUAAAUAAAGUGAUAAAUUUUAAUUUUUAAAAGUAUAGAAAAUAAAUUACAAUUUCAAUAGAGUUUAGAUGAUUUUCGUUUUUUUUCAAGCCUAAAUUGGGCUUAUAAAGGUUCUCCGGUUCGCACAAAUUAAAAUCUAUUCUCAGGCAUGCUCCGUUCUUGGGGUUUAGGGUUUAAGUUACUAUAGUUUGAUAGUUUUCUGUAGAUUUUUUUUUUAUUUUUUAUUUUAAGGCAUUAAAAAGAAAAUUUCAGGAAUGAGGUCAAUAUUUUGCGUUUUUACGCCCUCAUAUGUUGAGCCCAUUAAGGGCCCAUUUGAUUUUUACUUCAAGAGCAUUUCACAAAAAUAAUAAAAAUCUAGAGCUUUUGUUGUAAUGAAAGGGGAAAAAACUUUUUCGAGGCCUUAGAGUGGAAUUACCAAUUUGAUUAUUUUGAUCUACUAUAGGAAAAAGCUAAAAAGGAUAUUAAUAAGCAGUGAAAAGUAUACUAAUAUUAAUUGUGCAUUAAUUGUAAUACUAAAGAGAAACAAGUGCCAACGUCAUGACUCUUUUCAUAUCCUCCCACGUGAGGAUUGUUGGUUACUUAUUAUUAGCUAAAAUAUAUAAGUCCAAUUUUCUGUUCUGAGAUAAUCCGUUCAGAAUAUUAAUAAGUUGAGUUGGAUAAGUUCAAUAAGUUGAGUAGGGUUGCGAUCCACAAUAAACCUAAUGGUAAGAGAUCCAAUAAUAAACCUAAUGUCGAGAUAGGUCGAGUUAGGUCGAAAUUCCUUGAGCGCUAAAAUUAAGCCUUUAAGUGCGACAGAUACGUCCUUUCUACCGGUACGGGUUUUUGAGAUAGUUUAUUAGUGCUUACAAUCCACAAGGAUAUAAAGCCAGAUUAUAGUUUUGUUGCUCUAUGUCCAUCAAAUAUGUGCUACAUGAAGUUUUGGCUUUGCAAUCCUAAAUUUUUUGGUUUUUAGUAGGCUACAGGUAUCAAUGAAAAUAUGUCCCUAGACUAAACCCAGCCAGUCAAAAUAUAGUCUGUAGUCUAUGUCACCAUGAAACUCCUUGACAAAAUCUAUAUAUAGAGGUAAAUUAAGAUGGGAAAUUUAUUAAAUAUAAUUAAAUCCUAAAUAUUUAAAAGAGAUUACUGAAACAAAUUUAUAAAAAUAAUAAGACUAAAAUACAGAAUAUUCAUCUAUAAAUAAUCGCUUUCUCACUUUAUAUAAAAUUUGAAGUGGUAGCAAUUAACUCAGCAUUGUUAUAAUUUCGUUAUUAUUCUGUGCAUAAAUUAAGUGGUUGUUGGCGCCGUACAAAACAGCGCCAUGUGGAAAAAAAGUUCGAACCGCGUGAGCAAAACGAUGAGAGCGAGGUCAGAGUAAAAGGGGGAAAGUGCCAAGGGAUAAGAGUGAGUACCUCUCAUUCCUCACUUGACUCUACUAGGACCUGUAGUGACACGUGGUGCGCGCACUUAGAGCCGAGAGGAGUACGCCUAAAAUGGAAGAACAGUUUAGAUGGGAGACCCACCGUCCCUAGAGCAAGUGGCAAAAGACUUGGUGGUUGGUACAUGCCCGAGACCCGAGUUCGAAUCCUAGUUGAUUCACACUUCCAGCUAUAUAAGUUUAUUUCUUAAUGAAAUAAACGAAGCGGGUAGCGCGCUAUCUAUCUCUCAAAAAAAAAAAAAAAAACAGUUUAGGUGGGAGUGACUAAAGACAUGGAAAAAAGAUUUCGUGGCCAGCAAGAGAUCAACCGAAACAUAACUCGAGGAAAUGGGGACGUGGCCGAAGGACCUCUACAAUAAGAUAUUAAACCAAUAACGGCAGGGGGGAGAAGAUAUUGCUAUAAAUAAAAAUAAUCGUGCUGUGAAAAGGGUCCUUCACACAAAUAAAAGACCAUAACAAAUUUUAAUUCCUUUUUUUUUACAUUUGCAGUUUUUUUAGAGAUAGUUCAGGGAUUGUCUUGUUUGUUCUCUUUUUCAGAGCUUAGUUAAGAGUGUGAUUAAAUAGUUCUAUAGGAGUAGAUUCUAUUUCUAUAACAACAUUUAUAAUUCCGCUUUCUUGAUAAAUAUAAACAGUUCGGCUCAUUUGGCCGAGCUUGCUUUUGAGUAAAUUGUGAAUAGUGGCGGAAGAACCCGGUUAAGCCGAUCCCUCCUCAAUUGAGUUGCUUGGUUCACUAAUGAUGCAUUCGAGGUCAUCCUAGGAGCCAACUCGUAUCCCAAAGAACAACCCGACUUCGUCAAUGCCUUGAUUUGGCCAGCGUUGUCUCGUAUUCGGUUUCUAGCCCAGCAAUGGUACAACUAAGAAAUUACUAAUAAUCUUAUUAAAUUUUAACAAAUGAUGAAAAGAAUUAGUAAAUAGGCGGGGAUCAAUCUCUCAUUAAUUUGGUGGGACAAAAUAUAGAAUUUUUAAAGAGAGGCAUGUGAAAUGGAUAAGCCGAUAUAUAUAGGGCGAUUUUCUAUUUUAUAGUCAAAUAAUAAUUUUUUAAAAUUUAAAAAAUAAGAUUUGAAAUUCUAAUUUAUUUUCUGUUGCAUCAGUUAUGGCGAAGCUAGAUAGCCCGAGGGUUGCAAUUAGCGAAGCUUUAAUUUGUUGGACCAUGAAGAGUGGACAACAUGGAUGAUAUAUAUGCGACGUGAUGUGAUUAAAUACCAGCUUUAGAAUUAGUGCAUUGUCAUAUGUUGAAUAUAUAAAUAUUAUUGUGGAGGAAUUAAUUUUAGGAUAUAAUGAAGAGGGGCAAUAGUUGUUGUAAAGGUGUAGUAAUAUUCAUGAGAGGGAAUGUCUCCUUAUUUCUAGAGUUGAUGAGUGUUGGGAAGUUAAAUAGUUAAUUUGAGNGUUGCCUCCUUUUCAAGAUAAUAAUUGGUUCCAACAAGCUCCUGGGGUUUAAUGAGCUCUAUUGUUAGUUGCUUUACUUCUUUAUCAAAAAUUUGGUUCAUGAGGAGUUUUUUUUUUUUUUUUUUAAACAAAUGUACGUUAGGGUGUUAGUCAGGAGGAAGUCUACUGCGUAACAUUUACACGACAUCGUCAAUAACCAGCCAAUCAUAUUCUCUUUUUGCAAAUAAAGUAUAAUAAAAAUAUUUUUUUAAUAACUAUCAUAGUAUGGGUGAAUCCAAAAAAAAUAAUCUAAUUGAUUGGAAACGCCACAUUAGCAGUAUAAUUGGUGCAUUCUGGACUUUUUCUUUAACUAGCUAGAGUGUCAGCUGGCAUAGUUGCUGGGAUAAAUAAAGUACGUAAAUGCUACUUAUACACCCCUGUAUAGGGAUAUACAUCUUACACCCUUUAAUCUUAGGACUCACAAAUUUUUAAUGGGUUUUAGUAGAAGAAAAAAAAUUGAUAAGACAAGUGAAUAAAUAUAAACCACGAAAUAUCUAGGGUGCAAAUUUUACACCUAGAUCAUAGGUGUACAUAUAGCAUUUGCUAAAACAUUAAAGGGUGUAGAGAACUCCCUAGAUAGGAGGAGUUGGGAUUUGCUUGUUUGGACAAAACAAGAGUUUGUAGUAUUGAAUGGGAAGGAGUUCUCAUGAAACAUGAAUAAUCUAACAAAUGGCAGUGUAUUAGAAAUGUGUUGAUUGUACAAAUAUUAAAUACAUCUUCCUUGUUAGCUUAAGUUUUUCGAAAUAAAUAUUGCUUUCAUAUAAUCUAAAAUACACAGAUGUAGUUGAUAGCUUGGUGCUAACUUAUGAGCAAAAUUUGAUGAUAGAUUUGGAUCCCAAAGGUACCCCAAAACACAGAUAUGGUCAGAAUUAAGUACUAUAUGUCAUGUAAAUUAAAACUCAAGUACUAUGUCAUAUAAAAAUUUACAAGGAUAUGGGACUAGUAAUUAAGUAAAAGAGCUGGCUUUUUUUUGUGAAAUAAAAGAGGCAAUGUUCCAACCAUGAUCACUGAGAAAAGUAAUGAAGUGCGAGCUUGUGAACUCAUUACACCAUUAGAUGGAAAAUAUCACAAUCUAGUAAAAUGUUAAAAAUUUGGAGAAAGUUUCAGGUUUUGCAUAGAGAGAAAAUAUCCAAAUAGAAUGAGCAUUGUGAGACCCCAAAUAGUCCUAUAUAUAAGAUGUAAUAGGGCUAAAACUCUUAAUCCGGCUUAAGUAUUUUAGGUGGUGGCAAGGACCAAGAGAUUAAGAGAGUUAAGCGUGCUCGGACGGGAGUAGUCCUAGGAUGAGUGACCACCUAGAAAGUUGGGGCGUCACAGUUGGUAUCAGAGCUAAUUACCAGCCGGAAAUGUGAGAUGAGUCUCGGCUGAGUCGGGGUCGGAAUGACAAGGCUAGCGAGACGAGUCUCACAUCGCCUGAUACUUAUGAAUUUGAGCCUGACAAGGAUGUUAGGGCUUAAAGAGGGAGAGAUUGUGAGAUCCCAGAUAGUCCUAUAUAUAAGGUAUAAUAGGGUUAAACUCUUAACCCGACUUAAACAUUUUGAGUGGUGGCAAGGUCCAAGAGGUUAAGAAAGUUAAGCGUGCUAGAACAGGAGUGGUCCUAGAAUGGAUGACCUCCUGGAAACUUGGAGCGUCACAAGCAUGCUCAUUGAGGAAAAGAAUAUAGUAAUUAUUUAACGAAGGCGCGAUUUAUUAUGUAUGAGUUCACAAAGUACAGGAACCGACAGACUCAACGUGCAUGCUUUCCAAAGCCAAGGAGCAGGUGCAGUACAUGUGAUACAUUAAUUUAUAUUUAUUUCUAUAUAUAACAAGGACAUGAUCGACUUGAGAAUUAACGUGCGCCAAACAUUGUUACCAUGCAUAUAGUCGCGAUAUGCCGAGUUGCAUCAAACGAAGAAUGAGGAUCUUCGUUACAGAAUGGACAUAUGUAGGCCUUGAUUACUGCACCUAAAAGGGUUUGCUUCCAUCCUUCCAUGAUCCUUCACACAAAAAUUGGAUUGUGAAAAUAUGAAGACAAAAUCCUGAUCAACAACAAAAUUAUUCCUAACUUGGAGAAGAUUCUUUCAAAGAGUUGGAACUAAAACAAAAUUAUCUAUAGCAAAUGCAGUGGAAGGUGUGUAAAGUAGAAGAUCCAAGCAGUAAUAGGUAAAAAAACAAGAACCAUUGCCAUCGCAAAUUUUAUCGCUAGCAUAAUACAGAAAGGAAAGGAGAGGAGAAGAAGCAAGAGAUGCAUAACUGUUGCUCGAAGAAGUGUGGCUCACUAUAAGAAAAUCAUAAAAUCAUAAAAUAAAAAAGCUUUUUAGAUGGCGUUUGGGGGAAGCGUCCCUAAGCGUUUCUACAAUAAAGCAAAUACCUAUGUUUCAAAAAGCGUCAUCAUAUGAACCAUCUAUUGUAUCAAAAUAAUUUAUUAAAUGAUAAAUUUUAUUAUUAUUUUUAAUUUUUUGACGUUUUAAAGAGUCGUGAUUCAAAAAUUCUGACGCUUUAAAACGUCAAGAUAUAUUUUAUCGACGGUUGACAUAAGUGUCAAUAUAUACAUGGUUAUUUGUCAAUGCUUUCAAAUGUGAUGCUAGAUUAUAUAUAUAGAAACGCAUAUAGAAAUGUUUUUAAUUAUCGUUAAAUAUAUAUAAAAAAAAAAUAGCAUCCUUAAAUUUUAAUUUUCUUGCAGUGACUGCUGCUUGAAGGACGAGAAGAGCCACAAAAUCAAGUUUUUGUCCUUGGCUCGAAGGACAAGAACCACAAAAUCAAAGUUUUUUUUUUUUUUUAUUGUGAUUAAUAUAAGUAGAGGAAUAUUAUACUAGGAUUAGCGACAAGAGCAGCAUUAGAUGCUAAAUGAUUAGGAGAAUGACGCGAAGCAAGAGGUUCUUCACAAUCUAAUACAAGGGAUCAAGAACGCUCAAAAGAAUAAGAAAGGUGGUUAAGCAAUUAUUUGACCAAGCUAUCAAACUGAAUCCGAAAUCCAUCAAAAUCUUCAUGACAAAUCAUGGUCAGACAUGGCAAUCCACAUUGGACCCGGUUGAUCACUUAGUCCUUUUAUUUUAUUUUAUUUUUUGGGAUUUAAAAUUUGAGCUUAAUGAUUGCUUUACAUUGGUAAGGGCCCAGACCAGAUCUUGCCUAGAUCUGGUCUAACCUCGGUAAGGGCCAACGACUUACCUGAGAUGGAGCCGUUGUUGGAGUUGUUGGACCCUACCGUUCGCCUCUUACCUAUAUACAGAGGGGAGAGUGCACUUGAGAAAAGAUACAGGACUUAGCCUGAGCUUCACCUCUUGAUCAUCUUCUUCCUCAGCUCCUUGUGCUCUGAACUUCAUCUCCUUUCACACUGAGUUUCACCUAUUUCUAUAUUGUGCUUUCCAUAUUUUGCCAGAUCUUUUAAAGCCUAGUGGGUUCGUGGUGCACCAUUUUUAAGACGUGCCGACAGGGUGGACAGUGGUUGUUGUAUCGCUAUGAGCGAUUACCGGAGCCUUGCACGUAGAGGGGCAAUUUCGUUUUUAGGACAGUGCUUUAGCAUGUCUCGACUCACAGAUUUCAUCCAUUCUCUUCUUCCUAAUAUUUAUUUAUUGAUUCUUACAUGCUGUUAAAAUACUUGUUUAAGUUUUGUGUUUCAAAAUAUUUUCAAAAGAAUAUAAUUUUUGCUAAAAGAUUAGAAAGAUUUUUCCAACAGUAAAGGCCAGGCAACCGCCUGAUCAACGAAAAGCUGAAUAAUUAAUGGAACUAGUGAAGGCCCGCGCUUCGCCGCGGGAAAUUUACGCAAUUUCUAAAAUUUUUUAAAUAGAUUAUUCAACAUUGUUUGCUAAAAUUGGUUAUAAAAAUUAAGUAAAAUCAAAAUAAACAAUUAAAUAUUUAAAAUUUAAAAUUUUUUAUUAUCCAAAAUUUAAAUGUAAAUUUAGAAUAUAAAAUGUUCAAGCUUAAAAUUUAAAUUUUAACAUAUGAAAUUGAAAUCUCAAUAUUUGGAAUUAAAUAUUUGAAUUUUUUAAAUUCAAUCUAUAAUUUAAUAUAUAUUUAAAAUAUUGAAACUUGAAAUUUGAAAUUUAAAAUUUAAAAAUCUUAUAUUUUAUCUUAAUUACUAAAACUAAAUUUUAAAAGUUUACAAUUUUAUAUUUUAAAUUUCAGUUUUUGAAUUUUUAAUAUUAGAUUUUGUAUGAAAUUUUGCUGAAUUCUAAAUGUUUUUAUGUAAUUCUAACCUUUCAUAAUUCUGAAUUCGGAAAUAUCGUUGAUGUAAUUUCGAAUUCUGAAUUCUAUCCUUUUAUACGCAUCAAAUAUCCUGAUGUAGUUCAGAUCCGAAUUCUAAAUUUUAAACGUUACAUGCAUCGAAUAACUCAGCAAGCAGGAAUUCAGCUAGGGAAUUCAAAAUUCCAUGAAGAAUAUAGAGAAAAUAACUAUACUUUGUUCAAACUGUCCUAGCCGGUUUAUUUCUUAUUUUCGAGUUUCGGCCAAACCUAAGGAUAACUGAGUUGUAGAGAGUAAGGAGUUAGGUAGGAUGGUCAUUGAUAAGCUACACCGCUACUAUAGUUCUGAACUUACUGGAAAGAUGUUUGUGUAUGAUGCGGGAAAAAACCUAUUCACAUUAGGAUCUCUCCCACAAAAUAAUUUCGAGAAUUUUAGAAUUAAUAUUCAGAAUUUAGAACUUAGAAUCUACAAUUCAUAAUGCAAAUUCAUACAAAAUGUUGCUUAUGGCAGAAACUAUAUUUUUUUAUUUGAGACACAUAGAAAAAGCAAAUAAUUAAACAAACAAAUAUAUAUAAUUUUCAAAAUUUUAAAACUUAUAAUUUUAGUAUAAAAUUUAAAAUCUACAAUUUAGAAACUAAAAUUUAAAAUUUAAAACAUAAAAAAUUUAAAAUUUAGUUUUUGUAAUUAAGGAAAAAUAUACAAUUUUAAAUUGUAAGUUUCAUUUUAAAUUUAAACAUUCAAUAUUUUAAAUAUUAAACUACAAAUUGAAUUUAAAAAAAACAAAUACUAAACUUUAAAUAUUGGAAUUUUACUUUUAAAUGUAAAAAUUAAAAUUUUAAGUUUUGACAUUUUAUAGUAGGCGCAAUUUUGCAAAAGGUAAAUCCAAAUCAUCAUACAUCUGCAACGUAACAAAACUAAAAAUCCGUAAAAAACUAAUAGUAAGAACUAAAUAUCAAUAGUUGCAUAACAACAAUAUGAUAUAUAUACCGGAAGUACCUGAUUCAGUGGUUUCUUGUAAUAUGGAACCAGCGAACCAACCUACAUAAAGAAGCCCUAAUUUGCAUCAUAAAAUUGGAGUAAGAUAAUAAUAAGAAUUGCUUCAGAUAGUUGUACAUUAUUUGGAUGAGUCAAAGAUAUCUACUUACAGACUCACCACUUGCAUUCAUAAAAGUUUGACGUUUGGCAAGCAUGACAGGAGAAUCGCGAAUACGGCCUGCAUAUAAAACAACUAAAAUAUAUUAAAAUAUAUCUAAAUCAAAGUAUAUAUAUUCUGUAUUACGUUACUAACAAGGUUUGCAAUUCCCAGCAUAAAAUGAGCAAAUAAUUAAACAAACAAAGAAAAAAUUGCAUAUUUAUUUGCGGAUAUUAGCCUACACCUAAGUUAAGCAGAUUAAUUGGUUAUCAUAAGUUAGAAUUAAAAGAUGGCUUAGGUGGCAAAUGAUUAAUAUACUACAAAAGUUCGCAACACAUUCCUACAAAUAAAAGAAUCAGUCAUUUGGUACAUCCAAAGAAUAAUGUUGAUUCACAUGUACAGAUUCAUCUUCUCUCCUAAAUUAAAUAGGAAAAAGAAGAAUUAUAAAUGCGUAUAUAAUGAUACAAAUUUCUGUAUACGAAAAAUACUAUCUGUACAUCUACAUAUAAGUGUAAACCUUAUAUUACCUUCACAUCAAAAAUUACAUUUAUAUCUAAUAACAAUAGUCUAAAUUAUUUCAUAUUUAUUUAUAUAUUUUAUAUUUUAUAUAAAAAUAAAUAGCAAAUUAUGUAAUAAAUUAUUAUAUAAUAAUAUAUUAUUAUCUAUAUAAAAGCAAAGUAUAUAUAUAUAUAUAGUAGAGAGGAGAGAGAGAGAGAAUUAAUAAAUAUAAUAUGUUGAUAAAUAAAUUUAUAUAGAUUUAUAUAUAUAUAUAUAUAUUAUAUAGUUAUAAUAUAUAAUAUAUUAUUAUCUAUAUAAAAGCAAAGUAUAUAUAUAUAUAUAUAGAGAGAGAGAGAGAGAGAGAAGAGAGAGAGAGAGGAAUUAUAAAUAUAUAUUUUAAAAUAAAUUUAUAAUAUAUAUAAUAUAUACAUAAAAUUAUAUAUAUAUAUAUAUAUAUAUAUAUAUAAUAUAUAUAUAUAUAUAUUAUAUAAUAUAUAUAUUAUAUAUAUAAUAUAAUAUAUAUAUAUAUAGAUUAUAAUAUAUAUAUAAGAAUUAAUAUAUAAUAUAUUAUCCUUAUAUAAAAAAGUAUAUAUAGUAUUAUAUAUAUAUAGACGAGAGAGAGGAGAGAGAGAGACGAGAGAGAGAGAAUUAUAAAUAUACUAUGUUAUAAAUAAAUUUUUAUAAUAUAGAUAGUAAUAAUAAGAAAUUAUAUAUAUUAUUAGAAUUAUAAAAUGAUUAUAUAUUAAAUUAUUUUUUAUACUUCUCUACUCAUCAUCUCUCUUUCAUCUAUAAUAUAUAUAAUGUUUUAAUAAUAAAUUAUAUAAUAUAAAACUAAAAUAUUAAUAUAUAUAUAUAUAGAAAUAAUUAUAUAAGAAUUAUAUAUAUAUAUAUACGAAGAGAGAGAGAGAAUAUAAAAUAUACUAUAAUAAUAUAGUAUUUAUAAAUAAAUAAGAAAUAAUAUAGGAGAGAGGAGAGAAUUAUAUUUUAUAUAUACAAUAUAUAUAUAUGAAUUAAUUAUAUGAUAUAUAUAUAUAUAAUAAAUUAUAUAUAGAAAUUGAUAUAUAUAUAUAAUAUAAAUAUAAGAGGAGACGAGAGAAGAGAGACGAGAGAGAUUAUGACAAAAAAUAUACUAUAAGAUAAUAUUUAUAAAUAAAUAAAAAAAAUAUAAGAGAGAGAGAUUAUAUUAUAUAUAACAUAUAUACACAAUAUAUUUAUAUAUAGUAUAUAUAUAUNNNNNNNNNNNNNNNNNNNNNNNNNNNNNNNNNNNNNNNNNNNNNNNNNNNNNNNNNNNNNNNNNNNNNNNNNNNNNNNNNNNNNNNNNNNNNNNNNNNNNNNNNNNNNNNNNNNNNNNNNNNNNNNNNNNNNNNNNNNNNNNNNNNNNNNNNNNNNNNNNNNNNNNNNNNNNNNNNNNNNNNNNNNNNNNNNNNNNNNNNNNNNNNNNNNNNNNNNNNNNNNNNNNNNNNNNNNNNNNNNNNNNNNNNNNNNNNNNNNNNNNNNNNNNNNNNNNNNNNNNNNNNNNNNNNNNNNNNNNNNNNNNNNNNNNNNNNNNNNNNNNNNNNNNNNNNNNNNNNNNNNNNNNNNNNNNNNNNNNNNNNNNNNNNNNNNNNNNNNNNNNNNNNNNNNNNNNNNNNNNNNNNNNNNNNNNNNNNNNNNNNNNNNNNNNNNNNNNNNNNNNNNNNNNNNNNNNNNNNNNNNNNNNNNNNNNNNNNNNNNNNNNNNNNNNNNNNNNNNNNNNNNNNNNNNNNNNNNNNNNNNNNNNNNNNNNNNNNNNNNNNNNNNNNNNNNNNNNNNNNNNNNNNNNNNNNNNNNNNNNNNNNNNNNNNNNNNNNNNNNNNNNNNNNNNNNNNNNNNNNNNNNNNNNNNNNNNNNNNNNNNNNNNNNNNNNNNNNNNNNNNNNNNNNNNNNNNNNNNNNNNNNNNNNNNNNNNNNNNNNNNNNNNNNNNNNNNNNNNNNNNNNNNNNNNNNNNNNNNNNNNNNNNNNNNNNNNNNNNNNNNNNNNNNNNNNNNNNNNNNNNNNNNNNNNNNNNNNNNNNNNNNNNNNNNNNNNNNNNNNNNNNNNNNNNNNNNNNNNNNNNNNNNNNNNNNNNNNNNNNNNNNNNNNNNNNNNNNNNNNNNNNNNNNNNNNNNNNNNAAAAAAAAAUCCCCGAAGCCCCCGCGAAACGCGGGGAAGACGCCGUACAAACUCAGCUUUUACUAUAUGUAUUGAUUGAUCCCAUAUUUGUCUAGCAUUAGCUUAAAUAUAAGAUUGGUCAUAUAGAUGUUGGAUAAGUUCAGAAGAAGUAACUGAGUUGAUGGAUGCAUGAAGUAAAAACGACAUCAAGUUGAUUGCACAGAGAAAAUGCAGGAUCAAGAAUAGAAGUAUUUUAACAUCAUUAGAAAUAGAUUUAGGAGGACACAUAUCCAAACUAAUGACAUGGCCUUAGGGGUGGAAACGAGCCGAGCACAAGCAAGCUUGUCUUAGCUCAAAUUCGGCUUGAAAUUAAUUUCGAGCCUAAAUUUAGGCUCAAGUUUGGAUUGAAAUUAAUUCGAGCCGAGCUUGAGCGAGCCUAAUUUCGAGUCGAGCGAGCUGAAGCCCUAAACGAGCCGCUUGAAAUUCUCAAUAUCAUAGGGCCAAUUGUUUAAUUUGUAUAAAAUAUUAUCUACAAUUUGAAACAAAAACAUAUCUAAUAGUUCAAGAUAUAAAAUAAUUAUAUGAAAUACAGUAUUAUAAUAUGAAGAAAAAAAGUUUAUGAGUUGAAUAUCUAAUCUUUUCAGCUUCGCAUGUCGAUCUUCUCUUCCACCUUCAAUCUCCACAUUAUUUUUUUUCAUUUAUGCGGUCAAAAAAUGAAUAAAUUAUAUUGGCAAAUAUUGGAUUAAACUAUCCAAUCAUAUAUAACUAAAAAUCAAAAUUUUGUAUAAACAAUAAGUUUUUACUUUAAAAAUAUUCUGUAUAUUUUUUCAAACACACAAUUAAUGACAAGGUAGGCAACGGCGGACGCGUGUUGUUAUUUGGCAACUUGGGAGGAUUCAGACUUGGCCGCUUAGGGUGAAAGACAGAGAAAAAGAGAGAGAGAGAGAAAGAGAUUAGGGAUUUAAAGCUCUGUGAAAGAAAAAGAGGGAGAGAGUGUAAAUUUAGUGAAAUUUUGCCCUUUUGUUUGUCUAUUGGGCUUGUUUUUAUGGGCCAGCAAUAUUGGCCUAAUUUUAAUUAAAUUCAGAUUACUCACUCAGCCUAUAUAUAAUUAAAAUAUAUUAUAUUUAUAUAUUUUUUAAUAUAUAUAUAUAUAUAUAUAUAUAUAUAUUCGAGCUUUUCGAGUCUAAUUCGAGCGAGCCAAGUAAUACUCAAGCUCGGUUUGAAAUGAAUUUUGAGCCUUUUCUUUUGGUCAAGCUCGGCUUACUUAAUUUCAAGUCGAGCUCGAGCGAGUCGAAUAUCGAGCCAACGUGAGCCGACUCGCUCACUUGCCAGCCCUACAUGGCUUUCAAGACCAUAUAUAUGCUAGCUCAAGGAACAUAUGUAAAGACACUUCCAAAAUAACAUAUAAUCUUGAGAAUAAGAAGUUGUUAGUAAAAAUUUCAAAAUUCUCUAAUUAUUAUUUUCUUUAAUAUAUUUUAGUACUAUUAUUUAAUUUAUUAUUAAUUUAAUUAACCUAAGAUUUUAUUGUGAACGUUUCGGCUUGUGUCUCAUGCACACCGGCUCUUCGCGCUCCACUACUCUGUACACGUUAUAAUUACAUCAUAGUAUAUAGGGCUCGUUUGGUUCGAGUUAUGUAAUAUUACAAAGUAUCUCGACAUAUCCAGGUAUCUUGGAUUUCGGCGUGAGAUUACUACUGAUACUGCAUUAGAGCAUUUGGUUUAAUACAGUAAUAUAAUACUAGAUUACAGUGUUUAUAGCAUUAAUAUAUUUGGUUCAGUUUAUAAAAUUUAGUAAUCCUGACAUAAAAGUAUAGUUUUUUUCAAAAUUCUCCUUGUUGUGGUCAUUUGAAUAUUAUUUUUUGCAGAAAUGACGAAUGGAGGGAAGGAGAUCGUGAUGAUUACUUGAAAGGACAAUGCAAUAGAAGAUGAUAGGUGUUCGUGCGAGAGAAAGAGAGAGAGAGAGAGAGAGAGCGAGAGAAAGCGGCGUGCGAGAGAGAGGGCUGGGGGGAAGGAGAGAGAGAGAUGAAAAUAAUGCUGUUAAUUAGAUUUGGGGUUGUUUGAGGGUAAAAUUGUCAUUUUAUAUAAUAUGUAGUAUUAAAGGGUUUCAGUAAUGCAAGAUACACGGCCCCCCUCCCGUUAAUAUUUUCGAUGUAAUCCUGCUCGAUUUGUAAUGCUAUAUUAACGACUAGAUUACAUAUCGGAUUAACCAAACACAGUUAUCCUAACAGAAUUGCCUAUAAUCCUGCCAGGAUAACUGGAACCAAACACACCCAUAUAUUAAUGUCUGCAGGGCGCUCUCUUGUUCAUGUGAAUGCAUACAUAUAUGAAUGAGAGCUGCUGAUUAAAAGGAUAAUUUUCAACAGUUAAUUUUAAUUUUUUUUUUAGUAUUUUCAUUCAUUUUAUUUGAUCUUUUUAUCGCCGAGUGUUGAAAGAGAUUUUGUCAACCUCUUUCGCGUUCGUGCUCGUAGGAGUAGUUCCGAUCGUACCUUGGGAUGGUGUUUCUGGUUAAUCCCGCACGAAGGACAGAAAAACGCCUUAGGGUAGUACUAUGCAUGCUUCCGGAUGAGUCAAAUUAUUUAUUUAUUUGGAUUUUAGCGUUCACCUGUAAGUACAUUUAUUAAUAUUCAUCACAAAAUUUGGUUAGAUUUUAAUUAUAAUCGAAUUUCGGUGCGGUAAAUUUAUGUAACAUAGGUGACUAAGACAAACUAGGUUGGCACAAGGUUUGUAAUAUAUAUUGAAAGCCUGAAUGAAUAGGGGGGCUCACUCUGAUGAUAAAAACUCACUACUAUAAAUUCAUGAUUUAGCGACAUUUACUCCGUAGCAUUUAUUUAAAUAACGCUAAUUAAUAUAUUUAACAGUAUUACUUGAUAAGUGCCGCUAAAUUUAAUAAUUUAUCAGCAAUUUACUAUUAAUGUUGCAAAAUAUAAUAAAUUAGCAACAUAAAUUUGUGAAUGCCGCCGAAGUUUUCACCAUUUUAUAAAAAAUGACACUAAAUCUAAUAAAGUAGCAGCACUUAUUGCUAAAUGCCGCAAUAUUUGCUCCGUAAUAUUUAUUUAAAUCAUGUCAAUUAAUAUAUUUAGCAGCAUUACUUGAUAAUUGCUGCUAGAUUUAAUUAUUUAGCAACAAUUUACUAUUAAUGUUACAAAAUAGGAUAAAUCAGCAGCAUAAAUUAGUAAAUGCCGCUAAAUAUAAUAAACUAGCAGCACUUGUUACUAAUUAUCAUUACUAAUUAAUAUAUAAUUAUUAAUUUAUUCUUUUUUAUUUAAAAUUAAAAAUUUUAAAUUUACAGUUUAAAAUUAGAAACAUAUAAUUUAAAAAUUAAACUUAUAAUUUAAAAUUUUAAAUUCUAAAAUUUUUAAUUUUUAAAUUUUAAAUUUUAAAUUUUUAAAUUUAUUUUAAAUUUCAAAUUUCAAAUUUAAAACUAUUAAUUUUGCAACUUAAAAUUUCAUAUUUCAAAAUUAAAAAUUUAAAUUUAGUAUCUAAAUAUAAAAAUUUAAAAUUUAGAAUUUUAAAAUUUUAAAAUAGAAAACUUAAAAUUUAAAAAAAAUUAAAAUAUACAUAAUUAAUAGUCGCUAGCGCAAGUGGCAAAGGGCUCGAUGGUUGGUAUUUGAGGUCUCAAGUUUAAAUCCUAGUUGAUUCACAUUUCCAGUAAAAUUUAUUUAAAAAGAAAUAAACGAAGCGGGUAGUAUCUCAAAAAAAUUAAAAUUUUAAAAUUUUAAUUUAUAAAAUCAGAUAUUUGUAUUAGUGGCAUUAUAUUUAUGUGACACUAAUAAAAAAUUUAAAAUAAGUAUUUAAUCCAUUUUAGCGGCAUAUUCCUAAUGACACUAAUUGAUUUAUAUUGGCGGUAUUUAUAAUAAAUGCUGCUAAUACUUUUAGCAACAUUAGUAUAGGCAGCAUUUGGUAUCAUAUGCUGCUAAAACUUUUAGCAGCAUUUGUUGAUUAUUCAGCAACAUAAAUAAAUGCCAUUAAUGAUUAAUUUUCUAGUAGUGACUACUUGGGAAGAAUAGAGAGAAUUAGAUGAAGGAGUGGGAGAAUCAUGCACCCACUGAGAAGGAACUGAAGAAAUAAGGAGCUGUUGUAGCUUUGAUACUAGAGCAAUGCUGUAAGGACUGAGAUUUUUGCAGUGUAGCUAAACUCUCAGUUGACGAUGUUUUUGUGUGUAAUUUAAUUAUAAAAGCACUCGUCAAGUUUCGGGCGAAAUCGAGUUAAAACGGAAAUUCUACGCGAUUUCCAAGUUUCACUUAAAGUGAAUAGUAACUCGAUUUUCCGGAGAAGCCGCGGUGAGAAGUUGGCUUCUUGCUCGUACCGGACUCUGUUCAUAGCAGUCCAAUAGCUCGUUUCGACUGGGUCAGCUAUUCUGGAACUAAUGGCGCUGACGGAUUUUGAGUUCGACGCACGGAUUUCGAGAAAAUCAAAAAAUACAUGUUUUACAUGUAUUUAUGUGUGUGUUUUCUUCUAUUCGAAGAAAGUUGGAUUUUGUCGUGAAUCCGUGGUCGAUCAAGACGAAACAAAAUCGUAGCCUUGUUGUCUCCGUCGUGCUGAUCGCACUGGUGCAAUCCGUUCGCAAAUCUGACGGACGGAUCUGCGGAGAUCGCGCGUUGAUCGAGGACCCAAGAAGGAUGAGAGGGGAGCCGAGAAAAGAAGAGAUGACGAGAGGAGAGAGGCCAGGGUAUAAAAAAAAAAAAAUUCCCCGAACAGCCUCGGCCGCGAAAGCGGGGAAGACCCUGUAAAACUCAGCUUUUUAUAUAUGUAAUUGAUUGAUCCCAUAUUUGUCUAGCCAUUAGCUUAAAUAAAGAUGUCAUAAUAAUGAUUUGGGAUAAGUUCAGAAGAAUAACUGAGGUUAGAUGCAUAAGUAAAAAACGACAUCAUUGAUUGCACAGAGCAAAUGCAGGAAUCACCGAAUAUAAUUAUUCUUAACAUCAUUAGAAAUAGAUUUUAGUUAGGACACAUUAUCCAAACUAAUGCACAUGCCUUAGGUGCAACCGCCGAGCACAAGCAAAAGCUUUUGUCUAGCUCAAAUUGCUUGAAAUAUAAUUUUUCGAAGCGCUAAAUUUAGCUCAAAGUUCUGCGAUUGCAAUGUAAUUUCGAGCCGAUAUGAGCGACGCUAAUUUCGAUCGAGCGAGCUGAAGCCCUAAACGACCGCUUGAAAUCUCAUAUCAUAGGGCCAAUUGUUAAUUUUAAAAAUAUAAUCUACAAUUUGAGAACAAAAACAUACUCUAAUAGUUAAGAUUAUAAAAUAUAUUAGAAGAUAACAGUAUUAUUACAAUAUGAAAGAAACAAAGUUUAGAGUUGAAUUAUCUAAAUCUUUCCAGCUUCGCAAUGGUCGAUCUUCUCUCCACGCUUCAUCUCCACAUUUAUUGUUUUUCAAUUUAUGCGGUCAAAAAUGAAUAAAAUUAUAUUGGCAAAUAUUGGAAUUAAACGAUCCAAUCAGAUAUUAACUAAAUCAAAUUUUGUAUAAACAAUAAGGUUUUACUAAUUAAAAUAUUCUAGUAUAUUUUUCAAUUACAACACAAUUAAUGAAAGAGUAGGCAACGCGAACGUUUUGUUAUUGCAACUUGGAGGAUCAGGACGUUGGCCGCUUAGGGUAAAGACAGAGAAGAAGAGAGAGAAGAGAAAGAGAUUAGGAUUUAAAGCUCUGUGAAAGAAUAAAUAAAGAGGGAGAGAGUGUAAAUUCUAGUAAGAUUUUGCCCUUUUGUUUGUUCUAUUGGGCUGUUUUUAUGGCCAGCAAUAUUGCCUUACAUUUUAAUUAAAUUAGAUUACUCACUCAAGCCCUAUAGAUAAUUAAAAUAUAUUAUAUUAUAUAUUUUUAAUAUAUAUAUUAUUAUAUAUAUAUAGUGAUAUUCGAUGCUUUUCGAGUCUAAUUCGAGCGAGCCAGGUAAUAUUCUACUCAGAGCUGCGGUUUGAAAUGAAUUUUGAGCCUUCUUCUCGUUUGUCAACUCGUCUUACAUUAUAGUUGCAAGUCUGACUCGAGCGAGUCGAAUAUCAGCCAACGUGAGCCGACUCGCUCACUUUGCAGCCCUACAUGGCUUGUCAAGACCAUAUAUAGUGCUAGCUCAAGCGAACAUAUGUAAAGACACUUCCAAAAAACAUAUAAAUUGAUGAUAAGAAGUUGUUUAGGUAAGAAUUUCAAAAAUUCUCCUAAUUAUUUAUUUUCUUUAUUAAUUUAGUACUAUUAUUUUAUUUAUUAUUAUUUUUAAUAACCUAAGAUUUUAUUGUGAACGGUUUGCGGCUUGAUGUCCAUGCACCCGGCUCUUCGCGGCGUCCACACUCUGUACACGUUAUAAUUAGCAUAAGUAUAAGGGCGCGUUGGUUCGAGUAUGGUAAUUUACAGAAUAUCGUCGACAAUUAUCUAGGUAUCUUGGAUUUCGGCGUGAGAUUAACUACUGAUACUGCAAUUAGAGCAUUUGUUUAAUACAGAUCAAUAAUACUAGAUUACAGUGUUUUUAUAGCAUUAAUAUUUUUGUUCAUUUAUAAAUUUGUAAUCUGAAUAAAAGCUAAGUUUCUUUUCCAAAAUUUCCUUGUGUGGUCAUUUGAAAUUAUUUUUUGGCAGUAAAUCGAAUGGAGGAGUGAAGAAGUCGUAGAUUUACUGAAAAGGACAAUCAAUCCAGAAGAUAAUAGGUGUCCGUGCGAGAGAAAAGAGAGAAGAAUGAGAGAGAAGAGCAGCGAGAGAAAGCGCGUGCAGAGAGAGAGGCUGGGGGAAGGAGAGAGAGAAUGAAAAUAAUGGCUGUUAAUUAAGAUUGGGCUUGUUUGAGGGUAAAAUUUGUCAAUUUUAUAUAAAUUAGAUAUAAAGGGUUUCAGUAUAUGCAGAUAUAAACGCCGCCCCUACCGUUAUAUAAUUUUCGAAUGUUACAUCACGCUCGAUUUGUUAAGCUAUAUUAAAGACUAGAUUACAAUAUCGGAUUAACAAACACCAGUUAUCCUAACAACAAUUGCCUUAAUCCUGCAGAUAACUGGAACCAAACACAGCCCUAUAAUAUUAAUUCUGCAGGGCGCUCUCUGUUCGAGGAUGAAGCAUAACAUGAUAUGAAUGAGAGCUGCUGGAUUAACAGGAUAAUUUCAAAGUUAAUUUUAAUUUUUUUUUAGUAUUUCAAUUCAUUUUAUUUGUAUCUUUUUAAUCGGAAGUUGUGAAAGAGAUUUUGUCACCUCUUUCCGGCGUUUCGUCUGUAAGGAGUAGUUUCCGAUCGAUUACUUUGGAUGGUGUUUCUGGUUAAUCCCGCGACGAAGGACAAAAAAACGUCCUUAGGAGUAACUAUGCAUGCCUUCCGGAUGAGUCAAUUAUUAUUAUUUGGAUUUUAGCGUCACCCUGUAAGUAAUUAUUAAUAGUUCAUCACAAAAUUCUGUUAGAUUUUAAAUAUAACGAUAUUUCGUGGGCGGUAAAUAUAUGUAAAUCAGUGACUAAAGACAAACUAGGUUGCAACAAGGGUUGUAAUAUAUAUUUGAAAAGGCCUGAUGAAUGUGGGGGCUCACUCUGAUGAUAAAACUCACUACUAUAAUUAUUAUGUUUAGCGACAUUUUACUUCCGGUAGCAUUUAUUAAUAUAACUGCUAAUCUAAUUAUUACAGUAUACUUUGAUAAGUGCGGCUAAGUUUAAUAUAUUUAUCAGCAAUUACGUAUUACAUGUUGGCAAAAGAAUAAUAUAUAGCAACAUAAAAUUUGUGAAUGCCGCCGGAUAGUUUUCAUCCAUUUUAUAAAAAAUGACACUAAAUCUAAUAAAUAGCAGACUUAUUGCUAAACCGGAAAAAAAAAAAAGAAAAAAAAAAAAAAAAACAAAAAAAAAAAAAAAAAAAAAACGCAAUAUUUGCUCGUAAUAUUAUUAAAUCAUGUCAAUAAUAUAUUAAGGCAGCACAUUACUUGAUGAAUUGCUGCUGAUUUAAUUUAUUACGACAAAUUUACUAUAAUGUUACACAAAUGGAGGAUAAAUACAGCAGGCCAUAUAAAUUAUAAUGCCGGUAAAUAGUAAUAAACUAGGGCAGCACUUUUACUAAUUAUCAUUAUAAUUAAUAUAUAAGUUAUUAAUUUUUCUUUUUUAUUUAAAAAUUAAAAAUUUAAAUUUACAGUUUAAAUUAGAAAACAUAUAUUGUAAAAUAAACUUAUAAUUUAAAAUUUUAAAUUCUAAAGAUUUACAUUUUUAAAUUUUAAAUUUAAAUUUUAAAUUUAUUUUAAAUUUCAAAUUUCAAAUUUAAAACUAUUAAUUUGGCAACUUAAAUUUCCAUAUUUUCAAAUUAAAAAUUUAAAUUUAGUAUCUAAAAUAUAAAUAAUUUAAAAUUUAGAAUUUUAAAAUUUUAAAAUAGAAAACUUAAAAUUUAAAAAAAAUUAAAAUAACAUAAUUAAUAGUCGCUAGCAAGUGCAAAGCUCGAUGGUUGGUAUUCUGAGGUCUCAAAGUUAAAAUCCUAGUUGAUUCACAUUUCCAGUAAAAUUUAUUUUAAAAAAGAAAUAAACGAAGCGGGUAGAUCUCAAAAAAAAUUAAAAUUUUAAAAUUUUAAUUUAUAAAAAUCAGAUAUUUGUAUUAGUGGCAUUAUAUUUAUGUGACACUAAUAAAAAUUUAAAAUAAGUAUUUAAUCCAUUUUAGCGGCAUAUUCCUAAUGACACUAAUUGAUUUAUAUUGGCGGUAUUUAUAAUAAAUCUGCUAAUACGCUUUUAGCAACAUUAGUAUAGGCAGCAUUUGGUAUCAUAUGCUGCUAAAACUUUUAGCGCAUUUUUGAUUAUUCAGCAACAUAAAUAAAUGCCAUUAAUGAUUAAUUUUCUAGUAGUGACUACUUGGGAAGAAUAGAGAGAAUUAGAUGAAGAGUGGGAGAAUCAUGCACCCACUGAGAAGGACUUGAAGAAAUAAGGAGCUGUUGUAGCUUGAUACUAGAGCAAAUGCUGUAAGGACUGGAGAUUUUUGGCAUGUAAGCUAAACUCUCAGUUGACGAUUUUGUGUGUGUAAUUUUAAUUAUAAAAGGCACUGUGCAAGUUUCGGUGCGAAAUCCGAGUUAAAACGAAAAUCUAACGCGUUUCCAAGUUUCACUUAAAGUGAAUAGUAAGCUCGAUUUUCCGGAGAAGCCGCGGUGAGAAGUUGUGCUUUUGCUUCGUACCGGACUCUGUUCAUAGCAGUCCAAUAGCUCGUUUCGACUGGGUCAGCUAUUCUGGAACUAAUGCGGCUGACGGAUUAGUUCGACGCACCGGAUUUCGAGAAAAUCAAAAAAUACAUGUUUUACAUGUAUUUUAUGUGUGUGUUUUCUUCUAUUCGAAGAAAGUUGAUUUUGUCGUGAAUCCGUGGUCGAUCAGACCAAACAAAUCGUCGUAGCCUUGUUGUCUCCGUCGUGCUGAUCGCACUGGUGCAAUCCGUUCGAAAAUCUGACGGAACGGAUCUGCGGAGAUCCGCGCGUUGAUCGAGGAGAGGUCGUAGUGGCAAAAUGUAUUUUCGCGAAAGUCGCGAUAUUUUAUGUACCGUUUUGCGUGAGAUCGCACGUGGAGGGUCGUUCACUCGGGCGUUUUAGUCGUUCGUGAAGGGCUCGGAUUGAAAUUCCGGUGUUUGGUGUACCUUUUUGCUAUUGUACCUGUUAUAUGUAGUUUCUAGGGUUUUGUUCCCUAACCCUAACCCUAGCCAGCCCCCAGCUACCCUCACAGUCGCCCCCAGCCACCUUCACCCUUCCCCUGCCCUUGCUGCACCACCCCCGGCCGCCGCCGAGCCACCACUUCUCUCUUUCUCACAUCUCUUCCUCUCUCCCUCUCCUCCUCUCGGGUUGUGUGAAGGCCCGGGCUGCGCCUCCUGCAGACCCCUCCCUCGGUGUCACCCCGGCUCCGGCGAGCAUCCCCGCCGACCGCCGCCGUCGGCUGCGCCGGCCGCAGCCUGCCCAGCCGCCUGCAGCAGCCCAGGCCGAGCCGGGUUGGCAGCCACCUGUGGCGCCGCCACCGCCUGGGAACCCUCCGCCGACUUCUCCCGUCCCGGCCCCCUUUCCGCCGUCACCACCGCCCCGACGCGCCGCCGUCGCCGCCUCGCCAGCCGCAGCCGCCCAGCCCCGCUCUGCGCGAGGCAGCAGUGCGACGCCCCCCUGCGCCGCGCCGGCUUGGGUCCGCACCCGAGGCACUCUCCCGACCUCGUGCAGCCCGCCUCCCGCCGUCCCGGAGCUCCCCGGCGCCGCCGUGGCCGCAGCAACCCAUGAACCCGAGCCCGAUCUCGUGCGGGCUCGUUUGCUCUCGGGGCCGCCGCCGCCGCCGCCGCUUCCAGCCGCCACCUGAGGUGAGCACGGUACUCCUAACCUCCCCGCACCCGUCCUGCCGCCGCGCGCGCCCGCCGUGCCGCCGGAGGGCCGGCCGGAGCAAGGUUGCUCCGCCAGCCCAAAUAGGCUUAUUAGUGAUGAUUUGUGUUCUGAGCUUCCCGAGCUUCCGCCAUCUCUACGAAGGGAGCACGAUGAUCCUAGCAAGUUUCUGAUCAUCGUGCUCACCUUAUUUCUGUCGGGAGACUCCGUUCCGCUGUUUUCGCGAUGUCGCUCUCCGUUUCAGCCUUUUUGGCUGCGUUUUGAGUUUGCGCACGCUUAUCCGGCAAUCCGAGGCUGUCCUGACUCCGGAGUGAGCACGGUGAUCGUGGGUCAGUGCUGAUCACAGUGCUCACCUCACUUUGAUCAGAAAUGUCCGUUAGUUUCUGUUCGGCGCGAUCUUCCCUGACUGCGCGCUAUUGCUGAACCUUCGGCUUGCUCCCGUGCUUCCCAUAGCGAAGCCGCUGUGCUCGCGGAUCGUGAGCACGGACUCCGGUAAUCGAGACCUGUCAGUAACGUGUCUCUGGCGGACUUCGAAAGUCCUCGUUUGCGUGAACGAGCCGCUUGAAAAGCCUCAAUAUUACAUAAAAUACGAUAUUUUAUGUAAUUAGAGGGUCUUUUAAUGCAUUUUGUGCUUUGCGUGGCUACUGUGGCAAGUGUGUAGGAGUUUUUAUUGAUCGCUGGAUGAUUGUCCAUGUCCGUUAGCUUUCGCGGAAGUCGUAGGUCGAUUUCGGUGCGUUUUUCGGCGAAAUUCGCCGAAAGAUAUGCGUUUCGUUUCGGAUUCUUUCCGACGGUGUUUUGUUGCUUCGUUGUUUGUCGCUGAGCCUUGUGGGCUGUCACCAUCGUCAUUUUGUGGGUUCGAUGAUGAUAGGUGAGCGACGGAGUUCGGUGUCGAAAUAACACUUCCGGAACCCGAUCCGUACGAUUUAUCCGGCGAUGAUCGUAUUGUUGUGUGACCUUGUGUUCGCUGCCAAGCUAUCCAAAUUGGAAUGCUUUGGGCCAGCGGGUGACUCGUGGCACGAUUUGGUGAGUUUCGGGACACUUAGUGGCCCGACGCGUCCCGUGUGGUUUUCGGGACUUCCGGUAAGUUACGGGGAUCGUUUUGGGAAACCGAUUCGGGAUCCUGUGUAGGGUUUGUGAGUCCUCGUGCUUUGGGUUAGUAGUUUUGGAUACUGACUUGGUGGAUCUUCUUAGGUCCGGUAGACUUGUGCUACCCAUUGUCCCGACGCGACAGUGACAGGUGGGUGCUGUCGAGCUGGUAGUCCGGUGAGAGCGUUUCACUUCCUUCUCCUGUUUUUCUAUUCCUGUAUUUAGACUCUACAUGUCAGUGCUUGUUAUCGUUGGUUAUCGUACCCCUUGAUGCAUUGUAUAUUUGUGGAUAGACAUGUAGAGCAGGUUGCAUUUGUAUUUCAGUAUCUCUGUGGAACCUUGGUCCAGGCAACACAUCGACUCUCUUGUCGUGUGUUUCGAUCUGGUUGAUUCGAGGUUCCGCGUUGUACGCCCUAGCUUCUAUUCAGUUUGGCGUUGUACGCCCUACUUCUAUUCAGUUUGGCAUUGUACGCCCUAGCUUCUAUUCGGUUUGGCAUUGUACGCCCUCGUUGUUGCUUCGGCUAGGCACCGGCUUUAGCCGGGUUUUGUUUUGUUUGAGCAUACCAGCAUUGACUUAGUCACAGCACUUGGGGGUAUUCAUGACACCGAUCGGUUUGGCCACGAUCGGAGGUUGUACUUAUCGCGAUAGGUCUCCUGCGGGGCGGAUGGAUAGGUCGUGCAGUUAGUAGACAGUAGCGCUUGAGGUCUGCGGACCGAUACAGCAGGCACAGAAUUGGGUACAGUUUCUGGUUCAGUUACAUUGAGGCAUUCUUUGCAUUAUUUUCUAUACAGUAGCAGGUUUAUUUAUUGCUUCUAUUUUAUCUGUUGUAGCUACCUGUAUUCCUAUUUCAUUUCAGCUUACAGAUAUUAUAUUUGUUUAUCUAUCUCCUUUCGGUUCGGUGAUUACGACUGCCUUCGGGCUCUGUCGUACCCACUGAGAAAAACCAUGGUUCGGUCUCUCACCCCCCUUUUUCCGCCCAAGGUGACAGAGACGAGGAUUUGGAUUUGGGCUCGAUGAAGGACGAUCUAGUUAGACCGGCAGUAGCGUCCGUCACCCUGGUUAUUUCUUUCCCGCCUUUUAGUAGUCAGUUAAAUAAAUGGUUCAGUUAGAUGUUUGAAUGUUUGUAUUUCCGUUAUGCAUGAGAUUAUGGAUAUUUUAUAUUACAUAGAGAUUGGAGGUUUUCGUUCGGUGUUUUGGUUCUGUGAGAUUGGUUUUCUUGUAAGUUAUGGCAUCGUGGUUUUCUACCCCUCGAGGUAGCGGUUUUCAAAAUAAAGUUUCCGUGUGGGAAACAGUUUUAAAAAGUUUUCGAAUGGCUUUUAAAAUGAUUGAAUUAGAGUUUAAAAACAAAAGCUUCCGUGUGGGGAGCACUUUAAAUAGGAUGUGUGUUGAAUUGUGCAUUGCAUCAUCCAGCGCCUAAAGUUCUUAGAGGCAUGCAGGCAUUCUAAGAAUUGUUAGCUGUAUGAAAAUGCAUAUCAUACUUGGUGUUGUUUGGUAAAUGUAGGUUUGGUGUGAUCUGUUGUAUCGUUGGUACGCCGUGCAGAUACAAAGGAGACUCCUGUCCGAGUGGACAGAGGAACUUUGUAUUUUGGCGGAUCUGUACGCGCGUGGCCAGGUUGAUNNNNNNNNNNNNNNNNNNNNNNNNNUUGAAAAAAAAAAAAAAAAAAAUGGCACGUUUUCCGCAACUCUGUUUUAAAAAGACUUUUAAAAUCGGCCCCGGGGCGUGACAAAUGCUGGGGAGGAGAUUACAGCCCUUUCCUUGUUGUGUUGUAAGCUUACCAUUUCUCUUGAUACUAUGUCAAUUAGAAACAAAAAAAAAUGAGGGUGAAUUGCACAUUUGGUCCUCAAACUUUGACGCAUGCGAAGCUUUAUUUGAUAAACUUAAUUUUCACAAUGUUCUCUUAACUUUUUGAACUAUUUCAAUAAGUCCUACAGUCCAAUUUCGUUUGCCUACUGAUGUUUUAUAGAUGUGAUAGAAAUAUAGUCUAGCUCCUAAUAAUUGUCAUGCCAUCAAUUAUAAGAUUGCCACAUCACUACUAUAUUCAGGACAUUUCAUCAUUUAACCAAUUAGAUUGGACUUUCGGACUUUAUUGUAAUAGUUUCCAAAGUUUAAGUUAGAAGAACCAACAAUUAAAGUUUAAGGGUCAAAAUGUCCUGACUCAAAGUUUGAGGAGAAAAAGUACAAUUUAGCCAAAAACUUAUGUGAGUCACCACUCCUUUCUGAGUAGGGGUGAAAACAGUCGAAUACGAUCGGAAAUUUGACGAACCUAUAUUUUGCAUCCAAAUUUUUUCAGAUGAGAAUUCAAAUGUGGAUAUAUAUCGAAUGCUAAAUUUUUAUUAUUGUAACGACUCAGCUCACUAGCAACAAUAACUCGUUGGGCCCAACAACCGGCCCAAAAUCAAUGACAACCCCAUGCAUUCCCAUCCGAUGUGGGACUAUUGAGGUGUCACAGACUCCCCCCGUUAAGGCCCUGACGUCCUCGUCAGUCCAAUCACACACACAGCCCAAGAUCACCAGGCGAUGUGAGACUCGUCUCGCUAGCCCGUCAUCCAGACCCUGGCUCAGCCGAAACUCGCCACACAUGUCCAGCUGGUGAACCGGCUCUGAUACCAAAUGUAACGACCCAGCCCACUAGCAACAAUAACUCGUUGGGCCCAACAACCAACCCAAAAUGCUUAAGCCCAGUUAUUAUUACUAGUGUCUAAGUCUCUUAUAAACCCAAUGACAACCCCCAUUCCCAUCCGAUGUAGGACUAUUGGGGUGUCACAAUUACCAUAUCCGCUAAAAACGGAUUCGAAUAAGAUCAGCUAUUUCUUCGAAUUCGAAUAUUAUUCAGAUAGUUAUAUAUACUAAUACGCACAUAUGAAUAUGAACUAGAAUUAGCAAUAAUUAAUUAAAAGUUUACAUUCGUGUUCGAAUUUUUAAAUACCUAUAUUUUAUUGAAUAACAUCUAGAAUUUAACAAACAUAACUACAAUUUUGAUAUAAAACUCAUAAUAAAAUAAAUGAAAAACACAACAAACCGCGCGCUUUAUUCCCCCACAAUAUAUGUAAGUAUUAACAAACAGCGCGCUUUAUUCCCCCACAAUAUAUAUAAGUAUUAACUUCCCCUUAUCUCCCCACAAAAAGCUUUCAAACCCUAAUCAACAUUUCCAAUUCCAAAUUUAUAAUUAUAAUUUAAUCUUAAAUUUAAAUUUAAAUAAUUAUUAUUAACUUUUAAAAAAUAAUUUGAGGUCUCUCACAUACGAGAGCUAUCUACCAUCUAAGCUACGUACCUAUUUUUUAUUUUUUCAUAAUAUAAUAAUAUGAGUUAAUAACAUAUAUUAAUUUUCAGAUAUCGAUCCGAAUCCGAAUCUGAAUCCAAAUUAUUCAUAUCCGAAUGUGAAUUCUAAAAUAUUAUUAAUGAAAUAUUUAAAUUCGAAUUCGGCCGGGUGCAUAAUUUUGACAUCCGUGUUCGCAUCCAAUUAUAUUGAAUCCGAUCAGAAUUUAUCUUAACCACUUUCGCCCCUAUUUCUGAGUUGUAUUUACAAUAUUACAAUAUCUAUACUACUUAUAAAAGCGUGAGUUUUAAAUUUUUUUCUCUUUCCAAAAAUAUCUCUAUAUUUUUUACUAAUAUUUUCACGUCCAGUAAUUUUCAACCAUUCGUUUCAAAUAAAUCUUCAAAUAAUAAUUUAUUCUCAAAUAUAGAUCUUAAGUUUUUGCCAUUGGAUCUCAUUCAAUGAAUAAAAAUAAAAGCAUUUGUCAUUUUUGUUGAAAAAAAAUGCCCUCCAUAUCCGUUAUCUCCUAUCUACGCGUUUGUCAAAUAUUUUCUUUCUACUUGCCAAUCACGUAAUACAUAAAAUUAAAAAUUAAAUUUAUCUCAAAUCUAAUGUAACGACCUAGCCCACUAGCAAUAAUAACUUAUUGGGCCCAACCACCAGCCCAAAAUGCUUAAGCUCAGUUAUUAUUACUAGUGUCUAAAUCUCUUAUAUACCCAAUCACAUCUCCAUUCAUAUCCGAUAUGUUUCUCAAAUAUUUUCUUUCUAUUUGCCAAUCAUUAAAGCCCAUUAGCAAUAAUAACUCGUUGGGCCCAACCACCAGCCCAAAAUACUUAAGCUCAGUUAUUAUUACUAGUGUCUAAGUCUUGACAUAGUCUAUCAUCUUAUCUUUCAGACCCUGUCUCAGCCGAGACUCACCACAUACCACUAGAAAUAAUAACUUGUUGGGCCCAACCAACAGCCCAAAAUGCUUAAGCUCAGUUAUUAUUACUAAUGUCUAAAUCUCUUAUAUACUCAUAUACUCAAUCACAUCUCCAUUCAUUUCCGACAUGGAAUUAUUGGGGUGUGACAUCUAACGUAAUACCCACCCAUCAUAUAGUACGUAAAAUUAAAUUUAUCACCGAUCUAACUUAAUACUCGCCAAUCACGUAAUAUGCAAAAUUAAAUUUAUCUCAUAUCCACGUGUUUUCUUAAAUAUUUUCUUUCUCAAACGUAAUACUCACCAAUCAUGUAGUAUUCAAAAUUAAAUUUUAAAUUUGUAAUGCCCGCCAAAAUUUAAUAUCGCCAAUUUGAUAAUUUAAAUUUUAAUUCUUGAUAGUCGAUUUUCUUAUGUGAGAUAGUAAAUUUAAUUUUGGCAAGUAUUAAAAUUUGGCGCGCUAUAGAAGCAUUACAUAUUGCUAAAAAAAUUUUAAUACCCGCCCAAUCAAAACUAAAUCGUUAAUUAAAUAUAAUUAUAAAUAUUUUUAGCAAAAUAUUCAAUAUUUAACUAAUGUGCUAUAAAAGCGUAGAAUAUUUUUUUAAAAAAAUUAAUACCCGCCCAAUCAACAAUAUUUAAGUAAUAACUGUCAAAAUAUUCUACGCAUUUCUCAAAUAUAGAGCAUAUCUUAACACCCUCACAUAUAAUAUCUACAGUAUCCAAUCUUAUCUCAUCAUAAUACUUAUCACACACUACCUGUCAAAAUAUUUUACACGUUUCUCAAAUAUAGAGAACAUCUUAAUACCCUCACAUAUAAUAUCUACAGUAUCCAAUCUUAUGUAAUCAAACUUAUCACACAAUACCCUCACAUAUAAUAUCUACAGUAUCAAAUCUUAUCUAAUCAAACUUAUCACAUAAUACAUAGAGCAUAGAAACGUUACAUACUGCUAAAAAAAAUUAAUACCCGCACAAUCAAAAUUAAAUCGUUAAUUAAAUAUAAUUUUAAAUAUUUUUAGCAAAAUAUUUAAUAUUUAAGUAAUGUGCCAUAAAAGCGUAGAAUAUUUCUAAAAAAAAAUUAAAUACCCGUUCAAUCAAAACUAAAUCGUUAAUUAAAUAUAAUUUUGAAUUUUUUUAGCAAAAUAUUUAAUAUUUAAGUAAUACCCGUCAAAAUAAUCUAUGCGUUUAUCAAAUAUAGAGCAUAUCUUAAUACUCUCACAUAUAAUAUCUACAGUAUCCAAUCUUAUCUCAUUAUAAUACUUAUUACACAAUACCUAUCAAAAUAUUUUACACGUUUUUCAAAUAUAAAGCAUAUCUUAAUACUCUCACAUAUAAUAUCUACUGCAUCCAAUCUUAUCUAAUCAAACUUAUCACACUAUACAUAGAGCAUAUUUUUUUUGGUAGCAUAUUUUUUUUAGUAUUUUCUCAUUUUCAUCUAUACGUUUUUCAAAUAUAAAACAUAUAUUUUUUUCAGUAAUGUUCUUUUUCAUUUUCACUUAUAUUUUUCUCAAUUAUUCUCAAAUAUUUUUUUUUAAUAAUAUCUUUUCUCAUUUGUCCCCGUUGCCAGCAGGUACAUCGUCAUCGUCCUCCUCAUCGUCAUCAUCAUCAUCGGCGCCGGCACAUUGUCGCCUUCACCACCUUCGCCAUAAUUGGAAAGGCAUUUUGAUCCCUAUUUCUCUUUUUUUUUUAAUAUGCCUUUAUACUUUUUUAACAUAUCUUAUUUUAGCAUAUCUUAUUUUAGUAUUUUUCUCAUUUUUCACCUAUACGUUUCUUAAAUAUAAAGCAUAUAUUUUUUUAGUAAUAAUUUUUUUUUAUUUUCACCUAUAUUUUUUAAAUAUUCUCAAAUAUUUUGUUACAUACCUGACUCUACGCAACCGGUCGAUGAUGAUAAUUUGCUGAGACGAGGACGGCGUGGAGGAUGAUGGCCAAUCAAAUCGGUAUCUCGACAACUACCUGUGAUGCCCCAACUUCCCAGGGGGUCACCCAUCCUAGGACUACUCCCGUCCUAGCACGCUUAACUCUCUUAACCUCUUGGGCCUUGCAACCACCCAAAAUGCUUAAGCCGGGUUAAGAGUUUAACCCUAUUAUAUCUCAUAUAUAGGACUAUCUGGGAUCUCACAAUCUCCCAUCAUUUUAAGCCUUGACGUCUUCGUCAGGCUCAGACUCACAAGUACCAGGCGAUGUGAGACUCAUCUCGCUAGCCCGUCAUCCAAACCCUGGCUCAGCCGAGACUCAUCUCACACUUCCGGCUGGUAAUUGUCAUAAUAUUUCAAUCAUUCAUUUCUUUGCAUUCUUUACUAUCACUUGUGUCAUAUACACUACUAUAUUCUUGGACUCAUGCCACACUUGUUUUCUAAGUGUUCAACAUGCCAUAAGUGUUUCCACUAUACUAAUCAUAUGCCACUCGAUCUAAUAUAUAUAGAUUGUCCACGUCACAUAUCAUAGUUCAUACGUCAUUGUUUUCCAACGUCGAGUUUUCUAACCAUCCAAGAGUUAUAGACCCAAGUUCAACAUGCAUAUGUUAUUUAACAUAGUCCACAAUACACCAACGUGCAUAUAUAUAUCAACUCAUAUCUCAAGGUAUAUCAACAUGCAUACAUUUCCAUCUACUAUGUUCCACAAUAUGAUAAUAUGUCAUCAAGUAUGUUUUUCUAUUUAAUAUAAUCCACAAUAUGUUAAUUCAUAAUAUGUCAUCAUGCACAUAUACCACUAGCAUCACAUGAUAUGUCAAUAUAGAUAUAGUCAUUAUCCAAAAUAGUUCAUACUUAGAAUCUCAUGCAUUCUUUUAGCAUUUAAUUUACUAUGCAUCUCAUCUCAUUGGUAGGUAAUCUCAACUACAUAGUAUGUUUCAAGCAUUCAUAUCAUUAUGUAAGCCUACCAACACAACUAUAUGCAUCAAUUAGAAAACCAUUACUCUUAGACAUAUAGGCGACCUAGUCGCUUCGGUGAGCACAACCCACCAGCAUGCCAUGACAUGUAACAAUUGCCAACUAGUACCCUAUAAUGCAAUAUCCCAAUAUGCAACUUGAUCAAUGUUAACUAGAGUUUGUAGUACAACAACCAAUCCAUUACUAAGUUCAAGUCAUAUGUGUUUUUAGCACAAUAAGUUCAAUGCCACUUGUAAACUAUGUCUUUAAACACAACACUAGGUUCUUCUCUCAUUUAGCAUCAUAGGUUUACCAAUGUCCUCUCAUAAUCCUUAUGUCUAUUACAUCAUAUAUCCAUAUCAUAAUACCAUAUUGAUCAUAAACAUCAUAUAAGGAUUAGGAAUGCAUGUAUUGUCAUCCUAUAAUGCAAGGUAUCGAUAUACAAUAUGCUACAUGUGAAUGGAUAAGUACUAAGACAUAGGAAGAAGCCCGAUUGCUUCGGGAUGUCACUCCCCCACUUUAAGUCCUUGCUCGAGGUUGUGGUAGCUCCCCCUCGGGUGAUGUGCUCCGGAGUCGACAUCACUGGGUUGUAGCGGGUAUCUCCCCAGAGGACGGUCCCACCGGGUUGUAGCGGGUAUCUCCCCGGUUAAUGGGAUUUUGGGUGGUGGCAAGUCCCAAGAGGUUAAGAGAGUUAAGCGUGCUGGGAUGGGAGUAGUCCUAGGAUGGGUGACCCCUUGGCAAGCUGGGGCGUCACACUACCCGUCCAAAUACUUGUGACUAAAUCAGUGAUGAGAGAAAGAGGAGGGGUUAAGCGAGAAGGAAAGAGAGAGGAAGGAGAGAGGAAGAGAUAGACAGGUAGUCGAGGAUUUGGAGGUGAGGAAGGAGGAAGAAGAUGAUAAGAAGAGCAAGACUUAACAAUUUCCAUAAAACCUAAUUAGGUUACAAUCUGCCUCUUUAUUCCCUAUACAAUGGACUAAAAUGCGAUUAAUAAAAACUAAACAAUGCUAAAUGAGAAUUGAGUUAUGAAUUGGGCUACUCAGCCUCCUCGUGGGUCGAAUUCGGUGGAACAUGGGCCUGCAAGGGAAACGACCUGGCCCACUGACCUCCUGUUGCCGGGUAAGCGGGUUUCGGGUCCUUCUCCUCUCAAUCUCCUCAAUCCGCCGGGUCUUGGGUUCGCUCUUUUUAUCCGCUCCAUCCUCCUCCCGCUUCGAUCCGAAGUUUCGCCUUGCUCCUAGUUUCUACCCCAUCACAUAGCCCUUCUUGCUGUCGCCACCUCCCCCAUGGACUCCUUGCUCCAUCUCGAUCACCAUGGCUGACCUGUUCGUGCUCCUCGGCUCCCUACAAGCAAAAGCUGAGCUCCCAUUAUCUCUUCUCUUUUUAUUCUUCCCUAAUUACUCUGAUUCUAUGCCUAACCCUAACUCCUCUCCUACUUGGCAGAUGUAACACUCCCUCUCCCUUAAUCUGAUCUUUGUCCUCAAGGAUCGAAAGAAGGGAACUGACUCUUGAGAACCCCGUAAUCUUCCGAUGUAGCGUGCUCGUCGGAAAGGUUCACCCAUUUCACCAACACUUCGGUCACAGCCUUAUUAUCCCUUUGUACCAUCCUCCUCUCCAGAAUCUUCUCAGGCUCUGUCAGUAACUCGUUAUUUUCUCUUAAAGUCGGCAUGUUCGGUAAAGCCGGAACAGUUGCUGGGGGGCUUUUCUUUAACAGAGACACAUGGAACACUGGGUGCACCCUUGACCCCUCAGGUAGUUGCAACUUGUAAGCGACUGGACCGAUGCGCUCCACAAUUUGGAAGGGUCCAUAAUAUCUCGCAGCUAACUUCAGGUUCCUCCUUAUAGCCACAGUGGUUUGUCUAUACGGUUGUAAUUUGAGGUAUACCCAAUCUCCUAUUGCAUACUCUUUCUCUCUUCGAUGUCGGUCGACCUGUUGUUUCAUCCUACUACGUGCUACUUGUAGCCGAUCUCUUAGCUCCCGAGUUAAGCCUUCCCUUUCCUUAGCCCAUUCUCUAAAUUCCGGAGAUGUGCUAGAAGUAAUCGUGGUUACCAAAUAGUUGGGGGGAGGGUAUCCGUCUAGCGCUUCGUAUGGUGUCAUACCUAUCGAGGAAUGAAAACUCGUGUUGUACCACCAUUCCGCCAAAGCCAACCAGGAAUGCCAUUUUUUUGGAUGUUGGAAGCAAAGGCAUCUUAGAUAAGUUUCCAAACAUCGAUUCACUCGUUCCAUUUGGCCGUCAGUCUCCGGAUGAUAAGCCGAGCUCAUUUGCAAUUUAGUUCCCAUGGACUGAAAAAGCUCCUUCCAAAACUGACUUGUGAAUAUUUUGUCCCUAUCUGAGACUAUCCUCUUCGGACAUCCGUGCAAUUUACAAAUGGUAUCCAUGAAAGUUCUUGCCACUCCUGGUGAAAAUGGGUGCUUUAAGGACACAAAAUGGGCGUACUUCGUAAGUCUAUCCACUACGACCAUAAUCGCAUCCUUUCCUUCUGAUUUGGGUAGGGCUUCUAUGAAAUCCAUACUUACCUCCUCCCAAACUUGCUGUGGUAUAGGUAGGGGCUGCAGUAAGCCUGCAUGUGGAGUUCUAUUCACCUUGUUCUGAGCGCAUGUUGCACACCCUUUUACCCAUUCUUCUACGUCCUUCUUUAAUCCCGGCCAAUAAAAAUGUUGUUUAAUUCUGCGGUAAGUAUUUUGGAUACCUGAAUGGCCUCCCAAUGCGGAGUUGUGCAUUUGAUCGAUAACCUUCUUCCUCAGGUGCCCUGAUCCUCCAAUGUACAGCUUACCUUUAUGUCUCAACAAUUCGUUGUGGUACGAAUAAUUCCCUUGAUUAGUUGACUGUAAAGGAAGCUCACAGAUCAAUUUCUCGCACUGUGAAUCUCCCAGAUAACUCUCUGUCACUUCCUGCACCCAGCUCGGUAUCGCCGCUGUUAUAGCUAAAGUAACGCCCUUUUCCCCCGUCACUCUUGACAAAGCAUCGGCCGCUGCAUUCUCCUUCCCUUUCCUGUACUGAAUAGUGUAAUUAAAUCCCAUUAACUUCAUCAUUCCCUUUUGUUGCAUCGGAGUUGUCACCCUCUAUUCCAAUAGAUAUUUUAGACUUUCGUGAUCCGUCCUAAUCACAAAAGUCCUCAUGCUCAGAUAGUGCUUCCACUUCUGCAAGGCCAUGAGUAUAGCUAAAAACUCCUUUUCAUAUGUCGAUAACCCCAAGUGUUUUCCUCCAAUUGCCUUGCUCAAAUAAGCAAUGGGUUUCUCGUCUUGAGACAAUACUGCCCCUAUCCCUGUGUCACACGCAUCAACUUCUAAGGUAAAAGACCGAUCAAAGUUGGGCAUCGCUAAUACCGGGGCGGUAGUCAUAGCAGUUUUCAACUCUUCGAAGGCUAAUUGGGAUUCCUCGCUCCACCGAAACUGAUCCUUUUUUAAUAAGUCGGUUAAGGGCUUACUAAUCUUUCCAUAUCCUUGAAUGAAUUUUCGGUAGUAACCCGUCAGCCCUAAAAAUCCCCGAAGCUCUUUAACCGACUUAGGGGUUGGCCAAUUGAUCAUAGCUUCAAUUUUGGUCUGAUCUGUAGCUACGGCCUCCGCUGAAAUUAUGUGGCCCAAGUAUUCCACCUGGUCUUGCCCAAAGUAACACUUGCUCCGUUUAGCAUAUAACUGAUUCCUCUGCAACUCUUCCAAUGUGAUCCGUAAGUGUUCCACGUGAUCCUCCAGACUUUUACUAUAGACCAGUAUAUCAUCAAAGAACACCAAAAUGAACUUCCUUAGAUAGGGUUCGAACGUGCAAUUCAUAAUUGCCUGGAAGGUGGCAGGUGCGUUGGUGAGGCCGAAGGGCAUAACCCGAAACUCAUAAUGCCCUUGAUGAGUUCGGAACGCUGUAUUUGGAACAUCGGCGGGGUCCAUCCUGAUUUGAUGAUAGCCGGAUCGUAGAUCUAUCUUGAAAAAGUGUUUCGAGCCUCCCAACUCGUCUAAUAAAUCAUCGAUGAUAGGUAUGGAAAAUUUGUCCUUUAUGGUUGAUUUGUUAAGUUGACGGUAAUCAAUGCACAUCCUCCAACUUUCGUCCUUUUUCUUAACCAACAAGACCGGCGAAGCGAAUGGGCUGUUACUCCUCUGUAUUAUAGAGUUAUUCAAUAGUUUCCUUAUUUGUUUCUCAAUCUCUUCUUUUUGCUCAUAUGAAUACCUAUACGGCCUUACGUUAAUGGGAGCAGUGUUGGGUUGUAGCAAAAUUUUGUGGUCCUCGACGCGGGCUGGUGGCAUUCCUUUCGGCUCCUCGAAAACAUCCUUAUACUGCUCCAGAACCUGCUGAAUCCAAGGGUGAACGUUUGCUGUUGCCUCAGUUUUGUCGGGCAUCAAUUGGUGGCUCAAUAGAUAGCACUCCCCGAUACCCAUCUCCUGGUUCCAUUGGGCUGCCGUGACCAUUUUCAAUUUGGCUCCUUCCUCAAUCCCCUUUAACUCCAAUUUCUGCCCGUCCUUUACGAUGGUAACAGAGUUUAGCAAGAAAUCGAAGGUUACCUUCCCGUAAGACUUAAGCCAGUCAAUGCCCAACACAAUGCUGACACCCUCGAUUCGAAUUACCUAUAACUCCAUUACAAACCUCUGCCCCUGCAUAGUCCGUGAGAAUUUAGGACACUUAAGUUUGCUUAACAUCUUGUGUCCAUCAGCUAUGGUGACCACCAAGGGCGAGGCUGCUUCCAUCCUUGCUCCAAUCUCCUUGGCCACCCGUAAAUCGAUAAAACUAUGCGUGCUCCCAGUAUCGAUUAGAAGGGUGAGCGUUCUGUUCUUUGCUUCGCCCCGUAUCUUAAUGGUGUCUUGAGGCUUCUCCCCACUUAGCACGUGGACUGAAACUCCGAUCUCUUGCGCUUCUUCGCUAUCAGGUAUAGCCCCUGAUCCUUGCUCAUCCCCGUCUACAACUCCUCCUUCACCCGUUUCUUCAUGCAAACAAUCCUCAUCGUAAACUUCCACAAUUUCCUCGGAAGCCUGUAAGGUGUUUAAGGACUUACUGUUGCAUACAUGUCCUGGGUGAUACUUUUCUCCACACCCGAAGCACAGUCCUGCUGCUCUCCGCUGUUCUAUUUACUACCUGUUGACCGGGUUUUGAGUUACCUGGUUUCUUUGUGAGGUCUGGUACGGGUUUCUUAAAUUUUCGCCAACCUUAUUAAGCCCAGUUCCAGUGUUGCUUCUGUAGGGUGAGGAUGAUUGGUACGGGCCUCCCGAACCUCUGGGUAAAUACUUGUUUCUUCUAUUAAGCACGGCUAUGGCCUUCUCGUGCAACUGUGCUUGCUCAUAAGUUUCUUCCAGUGUUUUCGGAUGUGCGAUGUCCAAGAAGUGGAUCAACUCCUCUUUGAGCCCGUUAAUAUAACAUGCGAUAAAGUACUCUUCGGUUAAAUGCGGAUUGUAGUAAAGUAACUGGUACCUUAAUUCCUCAAACCGUUCUUGAUAUUUCUCGCAUGUCCCCGUGUGUUUCAAGUUGCUGAACUCUCGGAUCAGGUACCUUUCCCCUAUUUGCGCAAAUCUUCGACACACUGCUUCGGUAAAUUCGUCCCAAGAAACCAUCUGUUUAUUGACGAAAUACCCUUGCUUCCAAGUCUUCGCCUUUGCAACGACCCAGCCCACUAGCAACAAUAACUCGUUGGGCCCAAACCAACAGCCCAAAAUGCUUAAGCCCAGUUAUUAUUACUAGUGUCUAAGUCUCUUAUAAACCCAAUGACAAUCCCAUUCCCAUUCGAUGUGGGACUAUUGGGGUGUCACAGCCUUGCCGAUCAAGUGCAUCGUCGCUACACUCAACCAUUGAUGUUGAGGUAUUUGAUAUAGCUCGAAGUAUUGUUCGCAAUUUUCGAUCCAACUUCUGGGAUCUUCCCCUUCGAAUGACAGAAAAUCUAAGCGAGGGUAGGGUAAAUGCUGGUGAUGAUUGAAACUUCGAUGACCCCACGGAGAAGUGUGCUCUUCCUCCAUUUCAAGUGGUUUGCUUGGAGUGGGUAGAAUGCCUUUACCUUUCUCUUCUUUAAUCAUAAAUGGUGUGCUACUACUUCCAGGCUUGAACUUGCGUUCGGAUGAGGGCACCUCGCCUGGAGUCUUGAGUGUAGGUGGCUGGGUGGAUAUAAGCUUUAGCAGCUCCUCAUGUCUCCUGGCAGCCUCAGCUUGCAGCAACUCGAACUGCUUUUGCCCUGUGUCCCUCACUUCGACUAUCUGGUGGGUAAGUGCUUCUAUGUGAACUUGAUGCUCCAUUCCCAACUUCUGGUACUUCUCUUCUAAAGUGUGGAUGUGAUCACUAAUAUCCCGUAGUCGGGUCCCUUCAGUUAUAUCUAUAUCUUCCAGAUACUCCUUUGGGUUAAAUCGAAACUUGUUGCCUCUCUUGCCCCCAAUCUUGCCGUGCCUGUGGGAUAAUUUGAUCUGAGGAGUGUGGGGGAUUUCCUCUGAUCAGGCAGUAACUUCAGGGUUACUUGUGGUGAUUUCUUUUGUCCAACUCUGACCGUAGUGCAGAAUCGGCAGCGCAGAAAUCUUAUUCGCAGUUAAACUCAACAAUACCGAGAUGGGAGUUAGCAAGCGAUUUCACCACACAGGGCCCUAGGGUCGGACCGCUCUGAUACCAAUUGUUACGUACCUGACUCUACGCAACCGGUCGAUGAUGAUAAUUCGCUGAGACGAGGACGGCGUGUAGGAUGAUGGCCAAUCAAAUCGGUAUCUCGACAACUACCCGUCUAAAUACUUGUGACUAAAUCAGUGAUGAGAGAAAGAGUAGGGGUUAAGCGAGAAGGGAAGAGAGAGGAAGAGAUAGACAGGUAGUCGAGGAUUUGGAGGUGAGGAAGGAGGAAAAAGAUGAUAAGAAGAGCAAGACUUAACAAUUUCCAUAAAACCUAAUUAGGUUACAAUCUGCCUCUUUAUUCCCUAUACAAUGGACUAAAAUGCGAUUAAUAAAAACUAAACAGUGCUAAAUGAGAAUUGAGUUAUGAAUUGGGCUGCUCAGCCUCCUCGUGGGUCGAAUUCGGUGGAACAUGGGCCUGCAAGGGAAACGACCUGGCCCACUGACCUCCUGUUGCCGGGUAAGCGGGUUCCGGGUCCUUUUCCUCUCAAUCUCCUCAAUCCGCCGGGUCUUGGGUUCGCUCUUUUUAUCCACUCCAUCCUCCUCCCGCUCCGAUCUGAAGUUCCGCCUUGCUCUCAGUUUCUACCCCAUCACAUAGCCCUUCUUGCUGUCGCCACCUCCCCCAUGGACUCCUUGCUCCAUCUCGAUCACCAUGGCUGACCUGUUCGUGCUCCUCGGCUCCCUACAAGGAAAAGCUAAGCUCCCAUUAUCUCUUCUCUUUUUAUUCUUUCCUAAUUACUCUGAUUCUAUGCCUAACCCUAACUCCUCUCCUACUUGGCAGAUGUAACAUAUUUUUUUACUAAUAUGUAUUCUCAUUUGUCCCCGUCGCUGGCACGGGUACAUCAUAUCGUCCUACUGAUAGUCAUCAUCAUCACCGGCGCCGGCACAUUGUUGCUUUCGCAACAGUUGGAGAGGUAUUUUGAUUCCACCUAAAAUUUUUUUUUUUUAAUAUGUCUUUAUACUGCUUUAAUUAGCAUUUUUCUUUAGUAUUUUCUCUUUUUUAUCUAUAUGUUUCUCAAAUAUAAAAAAUAUAUAUAUUUUUAGUAAUAUUCUUUUUUAUUUUCACCUAUAUUUUUUUAAAAAAUAUUCUCAAAUAUUGUUCUAGUAAUAUCCUUUCUCAUUUGUCCCCGUUGUCAGCAUCGCCAUAUCGUGUGAGACCCCAGAUAGACCUAUAUUUAAGGUAUAAUAGGGCUAAAACUCUUAAUCCGGCUUAAGCAUUUUGGGUGCUGUGGCAAGGCCCAAGAGGUUAAGAAAGUUAAGUGUGUUAGGACGGGAGUAGUCCUAGGAUAGGUAACACCCUGGAAAGUUAGGGCGUCACAGUUGGUGUCAGAGCCAAUUACCAGCUGGAAGUGUGAGAUGAGUCUCGGCUGAGCCAAUAUUAUAUAGCGGGGAGAGCAAGACUUUCAUGCUGUUGACUGUUAUGGAUGGAACACAGAUCAACACAUGGUCAGAUCACCAUAUGGUCGGUUUAGGCUAGCGAGACGAAUAUCACAUCGCCUGAUACUUGUGUGUUUGAGCCUGACGAGGACUUCAGGGCAUAAGGGGAGAGAAUGUGAGACCACAGAUAGUCCUAUAUAUAAGAUAUAAUAGGGCUAAAACUCUUAACCCGGCUUAAGCAUUUUGGGCAGUGCCAAGGCCCAAGAGGUUAAAAGAGUUAACUGUGUUAGGACGGGAGUAGUCCUAGGAUGGGUGACCUCCUGGAAAGUUGGGGCGUCACACAUCAUCAUCCUUCUCCUCAUCGUCAUCGUCAUCCUCCUCCUUAUCGUCAUCUUCAUCAUCGGUGCCGGUACAUUGUCGCCUACGCUGCCUUCGCCACUUUCGCCACCUUUUAUAUUACUUCAGUUUUUCUCAGAUAUUGUAAGAAUGUUUGUUCAAGUUAAUCCCUCUAUUUGUAUGAAGUCAUAGUUUUAAUCGUUCUAAACGUGAAGUUGUCAUAAUGGAUAAACAGUAAAGUGUUAAUUUCCACUUUUAUCAUUUCAUAUGAAAAAAAAAAUAUUAAUAACAAAUUUUUUGGAUGGAUUUGAAGUAUGAAUCGAAUUAGAUUCAUCCUCUGGGACAAGAUGGCGCUAACACAGACGCUAUUGCAAACAAUUCAGUUGUUGUAUUAACAGCAGUGCAUAUUAAUAUCGAUAAUUAGGGUAAAUAUAUUUUUUAAUAUUUUUAUUCUUUAUGUAGUAUUUUAAAUUUAUUUAUCGAGAUCAAUUUAUUUAGCAACAAGUUUUGUGAGUAAAAUUAUGCUUAAUCCACCUAUUCUAGAAACUCAAAAAUAAAAUUAAGGUAAAAAUUCUUACUUAUGUGAAUUCUUAUUAAAUUUCUAUUUUUCACUAAUUUUAUCUAUUUCAAUGAUUUACUAAUGUUUAUUUUAUUAUUUUUCUUACUUUCAUUGUAUUUUGCAUAUAAGCAAUGAUUGAGAGGGAGAUAAUUUUUUUUAAGUAAUGGUUAAAAAUUCACAUUUUAUUUUAACUUUUUUAUCUAUUAAAUAAUGAAAUGAUGGUGACAUUUUCAGUUAGUUUAGUUACUAAUUUUGUGUUUUUUUUUUUUUUUAUAAUACCGUGAUGGAUUUUGUGUUUUUUCUUUGAUGAUAUUGUAAUUUUAUUUCUUAUUUAUGUCAUUUUAUUGUGAUAAUAAUUAAAUACUAUAUAUCAAAUUUAUAAUAUUUAUUUAUAAAUAUUUUAUUUUUUAGUAUUUGUGUGAUGUGCAUUGCAGGUGCAAUUAACUAGUUUAUAAUUUAACCAUAACAUAUACACAUCACAUUAUAGUAACUCCAUAACAAAUAUCAAUUAAGGGCCUUCCCAUGGUGAGAACUCUAAUCGCCAUUCAAGAUGCCUUCAAUUCAAGUUUUGUUCAUAAUAAAUGAAACGCAACUGAGUAGACCAUUAUUCCAUUAUUUUCACCAUGCAUGCGUAGGAUCUUCUUAAUUAGAACUUCUAUUGCAAGAAAUAUAUUGACUAAAUAAUUAGUAUAAAAACAAAUAUUACCCUUUAUUCUAUUUAUGCUUACUUAACUUUUAAUUAUUUUAUUUAUAUUAUUUCACUCAAAUAACUUUGAAAUUUACUAAAUCUAAUAAUAAUUCAGUUAAUGAUCUAAUUUCUUUACGACAAUCGAUGACUAUUAGUUGACAGAGCUAUUAAAUUUAAUAUAAUAUUUAAUUUAGUUUAAAUAAAAAGAUUAUUUUAAAUAAUUAGAAUUUAUGAAGCUACUAAAAAAAUAAAUAAAAAUAAAUUCAUAGUUGAGAGAGCACUAUGCUAGUGCCAAAAACUUUUUUAAAAGAUAGAUCAAUCGAUAUACUUUGGAAAUUAGGUAAAAGUAUAUCUUUAAAAAAAUUAUAUAUAAAAGACUAUUAUGCAAUUUUGAAACGUCUGGGAGACCAUAGCACGCUUCAGUCUUCACGUAGCUCGGCCGUGGUUUUGGUUAUGUGACGUGAAAUAAACUUGUAGUACUUGCAUAACUCUCACGGAGACGUGUUAUUAUUUUGCUUAUGAUGCCCACUAAUAUAUUCAUAUCCUCUUGUAUGAUUUCAUCGGGUCUUACACACGGCCUGUUGAGACUUUUUGGCAGUGUUUGAUUCGGGAACAAAGGAGAAAAUAAAUUUUUGUUCUUCGCUUUGUUCUUAAACAUUGUGUUUGGUAUCUGAGAACAGUAUUCUUGAAUUUUUGAAAUAAACUGGUAUAAGACUGAAACUGCUAUUUUACCAUUUUUUCUAGAAUAAGUUUGUUCUAGCUGGAAACAAGGUUAAUUAAAGUCUAAAUUUAAUUUUAAUUAUUAUAUUAAAUUAUUAAUUAAUCUAAUUAAUAUAUUUAAAGCAUUAUUUAUUACUUAAAUAAUAACAUAAUGUGUCAACUUUGUUUAUUAUUUAUAAUUAAUUAUCAAUAAUUAUCCAGAAACUAAUAUUUAUAUUAAUCAAUCAUGUAUUAAUAUUUCUAUUAAUCUAAUUAAUUUUUUUACUAGUUAUCUAGCUAAAAUAAUUUACUAACUAAUUAAAAAGUUAAAUUAUUUUUUAUAAUUAAUUAAUUAAUUAAUAUAUUUUUAUUAUUUUAUACAAUAUUCAUAGCUAAUAAAUUUAUUAAUUUAUUAAAUUAUUUUUAAGUAAUAUUUUGAUGUUAAUUAAUUAGAUAAAAUAAAUUUAAUUUAAAAGUAUAACACUUAUUUCUCUUGUUCCAAUCUAAUUAAUCAUCCAAACACUAUUUAUCUUAUUCCUAGGAAUAAACAGCUUAAUUUUCAUCCAAAUACAAAAUUGGUUUAAUUCCUAUUUAUACACUUGUAUCUAUUUCUGAAAUAAGCAAUUCUUAUUUAUACUCGAACCAAACAUAGCCGAAGCCGGAAUAUGAUUUUUGAGUGUGGAAGCCAAUCAUACAAGCAAUCAUCUUUAUAUAGGGGUUAUUUUUUUGCAUAUAGUUGCAACUGUAUUGUAAUUGUAACUACAUGCAAAUCUAAAUAUGGCGAGUUUUCUGCCAUUAGUUCUACCAUUUGAUCAUUUUCACCUAUUAGAUUAUACUAUUCAACUAACCACUCACUCAACCCUAGAAGACUACUAUCAUCCUAAUCAGAAACCACUAUCAUCCUCACCGCACAUCCUUUCAUCUAACGACCAAAAACUCGAUAGUACCAAACUGUGAUAUAUAUACUGAACUUUAACAAAUUAGCAAGGUUACAGUAUAAAUUAUUGUUUGCUAAGUUGGAAACGUUUUGGCACGAAAUAGACGCAAAAACGGGCUUUGAAACUCAAGAUUUAAUUGUUGAGGACUAAAGUUGAAAUGCAUUAUUUUGAGCGGCUUCUUAGCAUUUUUGCAUUUAAGUUGGUGGAGUGCAGCGGGCUUCUUUGAUCCUUAUCUCUUUAUCUCUUUUAACAUAAGGUAGAGAGAGAAAGAGUUUGGUUGAGGAGGGAAAAAAAAAAAAAAAUGAGAAGAGGAGAGAAGAAGUUUGAUUUCGUGCUAGCGAGCGAGGGAGUCGAGCGCGCGCACGUGUUUUUGGUGUUUCGAUUUCGCUGUUAGUAUCACAAUAUUAUUAUUUCUUGUUUAGAUUCUUUUGAUAAUUUUUUUUUGUAGAAAAUGAGAGUUAGAAACUGAUUUUUUUUGUACGUUUUAGGAGCUGAUUUCGUGCCUAUCGUUCAGACUAGGAGAGCUGUAGCAUAUUAUCUGACUAUUUUGACUGUCGUCUUGUUUCUUGGAUUUGUGAUAUAGGUGAGUUCUGUGUUAUUAAAAUUGACAGAUUAAUUUCUAUAUCCAUAUUAUAUUAUUUAACCUGUGAGAUGAAUUGUUGACAUAGUUGAGAUAAUAGUGACAGUUUAACAUCUGCCAAUAGAGUAAAUUGAGAUAUAAAUAUAUGUGAUAUUUUUCUAAAGGUCAAUAGACAAUUAUAGAUAGUGUAGACUAUAACUGUAUUUUGGACAGUAUGACAGUAUUAUCAUGAAUUGUUUGAUCAUCGCAUUUGACCACAGUCUGCAUGUUAUAUUGAGUUUGACAAUAAUACUAUACUCAGUUGGGGUAACGGCCCGUGAGUGCCACUCUGGAGGUUGGGUUAUGAGAUAUUAUUAUGGCAUUGGGCAAACAAUAGUUUGCGUGGUAGCAGGCCAUUAUAGGUGGGUGCUGGACAUAAGGCGGCACAGGCUAGACCUGACUGUUGAGUCGGUCACUAUGAUUGGGCAUUAUUGCAGUAUUUUAUUUAGUCUCUAAUUGAUGCAUGCAAAACAUAAUUUAUAAUUUCAGCAUAUUGUAGAGGCAUGAUAGUUGCAGUUUGUUUCAGCAAUUAUUCAUAUUAGUACUUGUUCCUUCAUAUUGCUAAGUUAUUUACUAUUUUUGCCUGUUAUGGACCUAGUGGUGUAGACCGUCGGCGUUGACGAUCGUACCCACUGAAAACUAUUAAUUAUAGUUCUCUACCCUCUUAUUUAUUAUAUUAUUUUAGAGCCUUCAGCACUAGCGACUGAUCGAGAUAAGGGGAUUGCAGAUAGUUAGCAUCUCCUUUCUUGUGUGUGUAGUUGGACCACCUAUCAGUGAGCAGCCUGUACAGUAUUCGAUAUUUGGAGUGAUUAGAGAUGUUGUACCAUUUUGAGGACUAGUGCGGUAAUGAUUGUAUAUCGUUACAGUAUUGCUAUAGUACAUAGUUUUAUUUUUCUCUAAUAUCUAUUAUAUUAUUGUUAGAUUUUAGUUAAUUUUGUUGAACAUGUUUUAUUGAUACUUCGUAAGUAUAAGGUACAUUCUUAUGCAUGCGGCGGGUCUGUUGACGUAAUCCGGACUUCCGCUGAAAUCCGAAGCGUGACACAAACGCUUAGUACUAUCAAUAGUAUAGUAGCAUAAUUCUCUCUCUCUCUUUAUAUAUAUAUAUAUAUUUUUGAUUUUUUAAAUUAUAUGUAUAUAUUUUUAAAAACUUUCUUCUUCUUUUUCUUCUUCUUCUUCUCCCUCAGCACCUUUAUUUUUUUUAUUUUUUAUUUUUUGUUCUAGUCCCUCACAAUGUAAUUCAUAGAUGUGGAUGUGCUGGGUGUGGACACGUUUCUCCUCUCAAUAAAAAUUUAUAGAGCUCCAAGCCCAAUUCUUGAUGAUUGCAUUUAGAUUUCUUUAAAUCUAUAGUGAUCUCGAGAAAUUCAUGAGGGUGGCAUGGGAUUGUGAUCCGGAAUUCUAAAUUUUCUGGGAUCCUGUUGGAUGGGGAUGCAUAGAUUCUGUAGAGAGAGAGAAAGACGAAAAGAGCGAGAAAGAGAGAAGCUGCGCGAUUUGCCCUCUUAGAUUUUUUUUUUUUUUUUUUUUAAUGGCCAAGGUUGGGCCUCUCUUGGGUUGUGCUACUUUAGACAGGCCCAACAAUUGAUACUUUGAUUUCAAAGUUUGAACGCAUCGUUUAUUUUUACUGGUUCAGUUAGUAUAUUUUCUGUAAUUUACACAAUUAGAAAUUUACUAAAGUAAGCACUUAACUUAAACUUUGAAUUCAAAGUGCUAUUAUCUGAUUCAAAUCAAGCAAAUUGAAAGAUUAGAUAGUUAAAUCAAAAUUUGAAAGGUCGGGUACUCAGUUCAAAAUAAUCCAUAAUUCAAAUAAGUUUUAUACGUUUUUAUCUAUAUUGUAAAUAUAUAUUUUUUUUUUACGUUGUCUUCAACUGCAUGCAUUAUUAUCUACAUUGUGUUUUUAAUCACAUCGAAUCAAACGACCCAUAAUAUAUACCAACAGAGUACAAAUACAUAUAGGAAAAGCAACAAACCAAACGGCCCCUAAUACCAGCAAAUUACAAAUACAUGUAGCAAGCACCAAACUAAAAGCAGAAAUACAUCUCGUACAUGGCAAGCCAAAACGAGCAUAACACAACUAAAAGGAUUUGGCAUAUAUCGACUCUAAAAUCCUUUUACGUACUCUAAAAGGUUGACUUGGUAGUGAACACUAGUGGAAAAUAGGUUUUAACACAUCACAACGCAAGACAAAGGCAUAUUAUUUUUGAACGAAAUACACACAUCACCAUGCAAGAUACGAAACACAACGAAAAUCAGCUGAAGGAUGGGAAUAGAUGUCUUCCUUUCCUCAGCAUGAAUCACGCUGCCUUUCCCACGACUUCCUGAUCACUACAAAAAAUAAAAGUUUAGGGUUCGUUGGGAAGAGUUUCAGGUCAAGUAAAUACGUUUCGAGAGUUGUUUGGUACCAGCUUUUUUUCUUGUCCUUGUCCUUGGGCUUGCUCUUAACCGGAGUUUUGUCGUUAUUAUUUUUUUUGUUCUCUGGGUUUGUUGCCCCUUUCCUAUAGCCAAAUUCAUCAGCUUAAUAAAUAAAACAGUAACAUGCUACUUUCUUCUCAAAAAAUAAAAUUACAAAAAUAAAAGCUUGUAUGUACUCAGGUUAAUUUGCUCAAAGGAGGGGAAAAAUAGCCUAGAGUACCAAAAAUAAGAAUAUAUAUCUAUACCACUUAUAAAAGCCUAUAGUUAUUAUUAUUGGUGUCCAUGGUCUCUUAUAUAUUCAAUCACAACUCUAUCUCACACACAGCUCAAAAUUACCAAACGAUGUAAGGCUUGUCUCGGUAGUCUUAACAUUCCAACCCUGACUUAAUUCGUCAUUCCCAUCUUGACAGGUGAAAUUCAUGUUACACUUUCGGUUAGUGAUUGACUCUGAUACUAAAUAUAAUGAUCCGGUUUGCUAGCAAUAAUAACUUGUAGGGUCUAAACCACCGGCCAAAAAUACUUAAGCCUAAUUAUUAUUACUAGUGUUCAUAGUCUCUUAUAUAUCUAAUUACAAUUCCAUUUUUAUCAAAUUUGGCACUAUUGGGGUAUUACAUCCGAUCCUCAAACUUUGAGGUGUUACUAUAUAUACACUAGUUCUCAAGUUUAUUUGAUGUAAUUUUCAACUCAAACUUUUUAAAUUAUUACAAUUAAGUUCUACAGUUAUUGAACGGAUACUAAUAUUAUAGAAAUGUGGCUUCUUAACAAUCAUCAUAUCAUAGAUUACAAAGCUGCCAUGCACAUCACUCCUACAAUAGCUAGAUAUCAGCAUGCAACUAGCUAAAUUGGACUGUAGGGCUUAAUUGAAAGAACUUUGACAGUUAGAGAUAGAAACCACAAUAAAUUAAGGGUGUGUUUGGUUCGGAUUAUCCUGCUAGGAUUACAAGUAAUUCUGUCAGAACUACUGUAUUUGGUUCAUCCAGUCUAUAAUUUGGUUGACAGUACAGCAUUACAAAUGAUAGUAUUACUCUGAAAAUUUAUCAAGCAAGGGGCAGGUAUCUUGUAUUACUGAUGGUGGAUUAUCUUGUAUGUUAUAUAAAAUUACAACUUGAUUCCUCCAACUCCCCAAAAACUUUAAUACAUCAUUUUAAAAAUUUUAAUUUUAAUUUUUGAAUUUUUGAAUUUUAAAUUUUUAAUUUAUAUUUUAAAUUCUAAAAUUUAAUUUUAGAUCUUAAAUUAUAAAUUAUAACUAUAAUUUUAUAUUUUAAAUUUCAAAUUUAAAUUUAAAUUUAAAAUUUUUUAAACUUUUACAUUUAUAUUUUAAAAUAAAAAUAUUAAAUUUCAUAUUUUCUUUACAUUUUAAAUUUUAAAUUUAAAUUCAAAUUUUAAAUUAUUUUAAAAUAAAUUUUAGUAUAAAAUUAUUAUUUGUAGACAAUAAAAGAAUUUUCUCAAAUAUGACCAAAGGGCAAUUUUGAACUAGACUUAUACUUUAUUAUUAGGGUUAUCGAAUUUUAUAAAAUAAAUCAAACAUAGUAAUUCUAUAUACACUGUAAUUCAGCAUUACUUUAUUGUAUUAAACCAAAUAAGGUGAUGUAACGUCAGUAGUAAUCUAAUUCAGAAAUCUCAUAUAUCUAGUUAUAUAUGUCGAAGAAAUUUGUAAUGCUAUAUAACGGAAACCUAACGUGUCGUAAAGGGUAAACUUCAAAUUGCCCCAUGUUAUGUGACACCCCAAUAAUCCCACAUUGGAUGGGAAUGAGGUUGUCAUUAGGUUUACAAGAGACUCAGACAGUAGUAAUAAUAACUGGGCUUAAGCAUUUUAGGCUGUUGGCUGGACUUAACGAGUUAUUAUUGCUAGUGGGUUAGGUCGUUACAUUUGGUAUCAGAGCCGAUUCACCAGCUGGACAUGUGGGGCGAGUCUCGGCUGAGCCAGGGUCAGGAUGACAGGCUAGCGAGACGAGUCUCACAUCGCCUGGUGAUCUUGGACUGUGUGUGUGAUUGGACUGACGAGGACGUCAGGGCCUUAACGGGGAGAGUCUGUGACAUCCCAAUAAUCCCACAUCGGAUGGGAAUGGGAUUGUCAUUGGAUUUAUAAGAGAUUUAGAUACUAGUAAUAAUAACCGGGCUUAAGCAUUUUGGGCUGUUGGUUGGGCCCAACGAGUUAUUAUUGCCAGUGGGCUGGGUCUUUACAUGUGAUUCAGCUUAUAUUCGCUUUGUCGCUCCGUGUCUAAAAAAUUGCAUUUUGCCCCCUAUGGUUUAAUUUUUAUUUCAACAAAAAAUCUAUGCAAAUUGGGUGGAAAGUAAAAAUUUUUAAAAAAUCAUAGGGUGACAAAAUGAAAAUGUGUUAAAUCAUAAAUCAUAGCAGGGUAAGGUGCAACUUUUUAAACCACAAGAUAGCAAAGUAUAACUUUUGACGAGACGGCAAAUUAAAAAUGAGCUAAACUACACAAGGACAAUUUAAUAUUUAUCUACUACAAUUAAAGUUUGAGGAAUAAAAUUAAAGUGUCACGUGCCUCAAACUUCUGGAACCAAAGAUGCAAUUUGGCCGAUAUGUUAUGAAAGCUUGUGGAUGCCACCUACAGAUGUCAACGGAUCGGAUUCGGGGCGGAUUUUUAAAAACCCGAACCCGAACCCGACUCCAAACCCGAGACCCGAAUCCGAACCCGACGGAUUUUAAAAAUCCAUAUCCAAACAAGAACCCGACCAAAAAUCCGAAACCCAAACACCCGAGCCAGAAAAUUUGAACCCGAAACAAUUAUUUUUUUUUCAAUAUUUCAAAAUAUAUUAUAUUAAAUCUAAAUUUUUAAAAUACAAAUUCAAAUAUAACAUCAAAUUUAUAUAUAUAUAUAUAUAUAUAUAUAUAUAUAUAUAUAUAUAUAUAAUACAAAAUAAAUUUGGGUUCGGGUUCGGGUCGGGUACAAUCAAAGUCCAUUUCCGAAUUCAUAUCUGUCGGGUUUCUAUUUUUUAUAUCUAUAUCCGAAUCCAUAUGCAUAUCCAUUGGAUAUAUCCGUUUUAUUCGGAUUCGGGUUCGGAUAAAAUUUCGGAUAUCCAUACCCAUUGACAUCCCUAACGCAUUACUUGCAGACACAUAUUUACAAAUAUACCCAUGAUAUCAUAUUAUAUUAUCUCCAUAACAAAAUAUCAAUUAAGGGCCUUCCCAUGGUGAGAUAUUCUAAUCACCAUUCAAAGGGGCUUUAAAUUCAAGCGUCGCCUGUUCAUACUAAACGAAACGCAAUAGAGAGUAGACCAUUUCACCAUGGGUAGGAUCCUCAUAAAAUUUUUGUUACUUACAUAGGAGCAACAGCUGGUGGAUCCCGUUGACGUUUUGCAGGAGCAUAACCUGAUGCUGUUCAUCAUAACUAGUUAGCGCAGAGAAAUGAACAAAGCUUGAAUGGGAUCGAUGCUCCCCAGUGAGGGCUGGUGCGAGCCUUUAGAUAUUCCAAUGACACUGUGUUAUAUAUAUAUAGGUAUAAUUUAUGAACUGCACCUUAUAUUUUAUGAUCAAUCACUUCAAAACUAAAACCAAAUUCGAGUUAUAAGGGUGUAGAUAUAAAUAAGUGAUUAUAAUUAUAAUUUUUACGACCGUUGUGAUCUGGACAUCAAGUAUGCAUGGCCAGAAAUCAACGACACGCAGAAAAGAGCAUUGCUUGAUUAAUUAGAAAUAGGCAUGAUAUAUGUUUUUGAUUGUUAUAAAACACAACUAAUAGUGUAAUUUUGAUCAUUAAACCUUUGUUGUAGGAGUUUAAUUAUUGAAAACUUGUCUAAAACCAAUGUACUGGAUAAAGUAGAAGAUCCAAAUUAACAGUAAUAGGUUAAAAAAGAACCAUGCAUUGGCAUCGUAAAUUAAUUUAAUCGAUCGCUAUCAUAAUACAGCGAAGAAAGGAGAGGAGAAGAAGCAAGAGAAGCGAGCGUAACUGUUGUCUUUAGGACAAGAAGUCGGGACCGCCGGACGACCAUGACCUGAGGCAAUUUAGCAUAAGCAGUUAACCCAAAGACAUGAACAAAACUUUAAUGGGGCGGUCCCCUAUGAUCGAGAGCUGGUGCCAGCUAUCAGAAUAAACUUUUGUUAAGAAAAAAAUUUGCAAAAAACUGUAAUCUAAUGGCAUUGGUACACAGUAAGUUCUUAUGAACAACACAUAAUAUUUAAACGGUGAUCUAGGGUGAUCUAAAGGGUGUAUACAUAAAAAAUGGUAAUUAUAAAUCUUAUACGAGCAUUAUCUCGCACAUCAAUUAUUGCCCAAAGUUAACAAGCACGGAUGUUUUAACUUUCAUGUCAUUUUCAUAUCGAAUACAUAUUGGAUAUUGAUAUGCGCCCGAUAUGUGAUGAUACAGGAUUGAACCAAUAUCUGGUAUUUUUAAACAAUAGAAAAAUAUCGGAUAUGGCUCGAAUACACGGGAUACGGCUGGCUUUUUUUUUAUGUGGUAAAAAAUAAUCGAAACUCAAAACUUUUGAAAAGCUCACAUACUAACAGUUUGGAAAUGAGAAAAAUUAAGAAUGAGAGAAAUGCCGCCUUUCUUCAAUUUGCCAUUUUUUCUAUCUUUUUGCUUUUGUAUGGUGAAAGUCGCUCUCUCUCACUCUAUCUCCACACACUAUUAAUUUAUAAUUUAGUCCUUUACUGUUUACUUUUACUUUCUUUUAUCUAACUUGCCAACUUAGUUUUAAUCAAUAAGUGCCACAUAGAGAGAAUGAUUUUUGUUUUCUAUUUUCUAUUGAAAUGUUAGCAUAUUGUUUAAUUUUUUAUUAUUGUUUUCUAUAAUAAAACCCAAUAAUUAACUCAUGCGAUUGUGUUUGAAUUAUUAUUUCAUAUGGUUGUGUUUUAUUAUUAUUUUUUUUUUAACAAAUUAAUCUAGAACAAUUGUAUAAGCUUAAUGUAUAUCAGAUCAUUACAUAUAAUUUACAUAUAACUAAAUAUAUUUGGAAUAAUAAUUUAUUCAAUAUAUCCUACGUAUCGUAUUCUAGAGUUUUUAAGGAAUUGCCUACAUAUUACUGUAUCCCGUGUGGUGUAUCCGAAUCCCUGUAUCCAUAACUGUGUAACAUAUUCAACGGCAUAUUAAAAAAGAGAAUUGUUUGAUUAACUAGAAAUAGGUGUUGUGUUUUGAUUGUUAUAGAACACAUCUAAUAAUUUAAUUAACUUUGAUUAUUAAACCUCUGUUGUAGGAAUUUAAUUAUUGAAAAAUUAUCUAAAGCUAGUGUAACGGAAGGGAUAUAUGCGUAAAGUAGAAUAUCCAAAUGAACAGUAAUAGGUUAAAAAGAACCCUGCGUUGGCGGCGCAGUACGAUGAUUUUGAUGACCAUUUGGUUCUCCCUGCUUUGGUCUUUUUGGAUCUGUGAGACAAGGACCAGCAUGUGUUGUUAGGGUUACUGUUAUUUCAUGCAUGCAUGCACGCAGUAAUUUUGAGAGAGAGAGAGAGAGAGAGAGAGACCAGAAGCUCUUCCUUUAACCGGGGGUUCUUUUUUAUUGCUUGCUGUAGUCACGCCUCGCUGUUGUUCUUGCGGUGGAUUCGAAUCAUAUUUUGCAAGACCACAACCUGGUGCUGUUCAUCAUAACUAGUUAGCGCAAAGACAUGAACAAAGCUUGAAUGGGAUCGAUGCUCCCCAGUGAGGGCUGGUGCGAGCCUAGCUUUAGAUAUUCCAAUGACACUGUUAUAUAUAUAUAGGUAUAAUUUAUGUACUGCACCGUAUAUUUUAUGAUCAAUCACUUCAAAACUAAAACCAAAUUCGAGUUAUAAGGGUGUAGAUAUAAAUAAGUGAUUAUAAUUAUAAUUUUUACGACCGUUGUGAUCUGGACAUCAAGUAUGCAUGGCCAAAAAUCAACGACACGCAGAAAAGAGCAUUGCUUGAUUAAUUAGAAAUAGGCAUGAUAUAUGUUUUUGAUUGUUAUAAAACACAUCUAAUAAUGUAUUUUUGACUAUUAAACAUCUGAUGUAGGAAUUUAAUUAUUGAAAACUUGUCUAAAACUAAUGCACUGGAUAAAGUAGAAGGUUAAAAAAGAACCAUGCAUUGGCAUCCUAAAUUAAUUUAAUCGAUCGCUAUCAUAAUACAGCGAAGAAAGGGGAGGAGAAGAAGCAAGAGCAGCGAUCGUAACCGUUGUCGGGAGGAGGAGAAGAAGUCCGGACGGCCCGACGACCACGAUGUGAUUGACGUUCAUGGUCUGGUCCUGAUGCAAUUUAGCAUAACCAGUUAACCGAAAGAGAUGAACGAAAGUUUAAUGAGAGCUGGUGCGAGCUAUUAGAAUAAACUUUUGUUAAAAAAAAAAAAAUUGCAAAAAACUGUAAUCUAAUGGCAUUGGUGCACAGUAAGUUCUUAUGAACUACGCCUAAUAUUUAAAAGGUGAUCUAAGGGUGAUAUGAAGGGUGUAUAUAUAAAAAAGGCUUAAUUUUAUAUAGAUUCCUUCAAACAUCAUGAAUGACAAAUAUACUUUUAUAAAAUUCAACUUUUAUAUAUUAUCCCUACAAAAGUUCUAAUAUUUUCAAAUAUAUCCCUCUGAUUUGUUACUGUUAGAGAACCGUUUAUAUUUUCAAUUUUGCCAUCACAAAUAUGUCCCUUCAAAAAUCAUAACAGUAUAAUAUAAGAGGGAUAAAAAUAUCAAAAACUAAUCAAGAUUAAGUAUUUAAUCUAUGGUUAAGUAAUUUUUUCUAACGGAUUCUAACGAUAUAGAUAUAUUUGAAAAUAUCAGGACUUUGUAAGGACGAACAUAUGAAAAUUAAACUUUGUAGGGAUAUAUUUGUCAUUCAAUAUGAUUGUAGGGAUUUGUAUGAAAUUAACCCUAUAAAAAAAUUAUAAUUAUAAAUUUUAUACAACCAUUAUUUUGGACAUCAAUUAUUGCCAAAAGUCAACAAGCACGAAUAAUUCAAAUUCAAAUACAUAUUAGAUAUUGAUAUGCGCCCGAUAUGUGAUGAUACGGGAUUGAACCAAUAUCUGGCAUUUUUAAACAAUAGAAAAAUAUCAGAUAUGGCUCGAUACACGGGAUACGGCUGGCUUUUUUUUAUUCUAGUAAAAAAUAAUCGAAACUCAAAAUUUUUGAAAAGCUCACAUACUAACUGUAGUACCCUUGUUUAUUUAUUUAUUUUUUUAAAUUUUUUUNCACAGGUUCCGGCUGCUGCGCCUUCCGCGGAUCAGGAUCGAGGCAAGGGCGUCACGAGUUAGAGCCCUACCCGUCGUGCUGAGCUAGAGGUGCCCCUACUGCAAGUAGAUGUUUUGUUUCGAGUUUCUGUACAUAGUAGACUUAACUCGCCAGUGCGAGUAGCUCUGUAUUUUGGAUUUGGACUAGGUAUAUGAAACUCAGUUUGUUUAUCUUCUGUUUUUUUAGCAGCUCUCUACUACUGUUCGUAGUAGCGUUUGAUUUACAGGUACAGCUGUCGCUUCGUAUUCAGAGAAAAUUUCUUUGUAUACGGCGGAUUUGUCGGCGUGCUCGGGGAACUAGACAUCCGGGGCGUGACACUAACCGAUUGGAAAUAAGAAAAAUUAAGAGUGAGAAAAAUACCAGCAUUUCUUCAAUUUGUUAUUUUUUCUAUCUUUUUGCUCUUGUAUAGUGAAAGUCGCUCUCUCUCACUCUAUCUCCACACACUAUUAAUUUAUAAUUUAGUCCUUUAGGCCCCGUUUGGUACGGGAAAGCAAGAAUAAUGAAAGUUAUUUCCGCUAUUCCGCCAAACGGGAUGAAAUUUGACCGGAAUAUUUUAUCCCGGUCAAACCUUGCUAUUUUCGAUUAUUCUGGAAUAGCAAGGGAUUUGCUAUUCCACCAAAAUAAUGGAAUAGCGCUAUUCUAAUGCUUAAUUUCAUACUUAAUUAUAAUUAUAAUUGAAUUAAAAUUAAAUUAUAUAAAUAUAAUAUGUUAUAUAGAACUAGGCUGGAAUAUUAUCAAUAGUACCAAACUGUUGGUGCUAUUAGUUUUUUAGCCCUGGGAUUGAAAAAUAUGCAGUUAGGAUGAUAUGGGCCCUCUAGAGUUAAGUGGGUGGUUGGUUCAAUAGUAUAAUCUAUCGGGUAAAAAUAAUCAAAGUGUUAAAUCUAACGGUAGAAAACUCGAAAAUAUCAAAUCCUUGGUGCUGUCGAUAGUAUCUCAGCCGGACUCAUAUUAUAUAUUAUAAUAUAUUAUUUUUAUUUUAAAAUUAUGAAUUGUACUAUGCUAAUACAUAUUAUUUAUAUUUAAAUAUUAUAAUAAUUUUUUUUAUUAAAUUUAAUUUUAAGUAGAAUUUUUAAAAAAUUUAUAAAUUUAUUAUAAUAAAUUAUUUUUAUUAAUUGUUCCCACCCCUAUUCUUAUUUUAAAAUUUUAAAUUUUAAAAUAUAAAUUUAAAAAUUUAAAUUCAAAUAUAAUAAGAGGAUAAAUCAUUACUUUUUAUUUAUAAAACUCACUAUCCUUCUUAUUCCAUCUUAUCUAACCAAACACUAUUUGUUUUAUUUCCAAGAAUAACCAAAUUUUCAUCCAAACACAAAAUUGAUCUAAUCCCCGCUUAUAUCUCAAUUUAUAUCUAUCCCUGGAAUAGCCACUUUUUACAUAUCCCCGAACCAAAUGAUACCUAAAUGAAUUAGAUUGGAUAUAUAAAUUUAUAAAAUCUUACUCAUUAAAUUUUGAUCUAAUAGUUGAAAUUUUAUAUAUAAAUAAGUCUUUUUAUAAUUGAGCUGGACUUUAUAUUUUUUUACUAAAAAUCAAAUAAUAAAAAUAUAUAUUACAUAUAUAAUUAUUUAUUUAUAUAUAUANNNNNNNNNNNNNNNNNNNNNNNNNAAAAAGAAAAAUCAAUUACCAUCUUUUCUUCUCUCUUCACUCAAUCCACUGAAAUUCUAGACGAAGAGCCUUUCCUGUCGUCCUCUUCUGCCACCGCAGCCAACGAGAUAGAGUUUCGGUGGUUGCUAAAUGCUUAAAUAAGUGUUGGUAAAUUAGCAGCACUCUUUUAGGUUAUAGCGACACUCUUUAACUGUCACUAUAUACCUAGCGACCCCACAUAUAGCAACACUUUUUAAAAGUGUCGGUAAUUUUAGCUAGCAGCACUUUUUUGACAUGUACCCAUAUUUAAAAGUGUCGCUAUAGACCAUUUUUGUUGUAGUGAUCAUACGUAUCAUAUUCAAUAUAUCCUACAUAUCGUAUUCUAGAGUUUUUAGAAAUUACCUACAUAUUACUGUAUCCCAUGUCGUGUAUCCGGAUCCCUGUAUCCAUAACUGUGUAACAUAGUCAACGGCAUAUAAAAAAGAGAAUUGUUUGAUUAACUAGAAAUAGGUGUUGUGUUCUGAUUGUUAUAGAACACAUCUAAUAAUUUAAUUAACUUUGAUUAUUAAACCCCUGCUGUAGGAAUUUAAUUAUUGAAAAAUUAUCUAAAGCUAGUGUAACGGAAGGGAUAUAUGCGUAAAGUAGAAGAUCCAAAUUAACAGUAAUAGGUUAAAAAGAACCCUUCGUUGGCGUCGCAGUACAAUCAUUUUGAUGACCAUUUGGUUCUCCCUGCUUUGGUCUUUUUGGAUCUGUGAGACAAGGACCAGCAUGUGUUGUUAGGGUUACUGUUAUUUCAUGCAUGCAUGCACGCAGUAAUUUUGAGAGAGAGAGAGAGAGAGAGAGAGAGAGAGAGAGAGAGAUUAAUGACCUGUAUUGUUAAGGUGAUUGUUUCCGGCCAACGCACGAGGGAGGAAGAGAAUGGCGAGGGGGUGGAAAAGAGCAAAAAUGGCGGCGAAAUGUGAUUUUGGAGCCAUCCUAGUUUCAGCUGGAGAUGGGACGCCACAGGAAGUUAACACCCGGGUUGGCAAAAUCACAAUUUAUAGAACAAGAACAAGUCAAAUUGCAGAAGAAUCCCUAUAUGUUUACAUUUGACUCCCUUGAAAAUUUAAACUUACCCGUUUCGUCCAUUAAUGAUUUUAAAAAUCUAUUUUGGGUUUUUAAUAUGCAAAACUUGACAUGAUAAGGAGCUAAUAAUAGCCUUUGGAUGACUAAUUCACCACUAGCCCUCUUAAAUAUCUAAAUAUCGUAAAUAUUCCUAUAAAAUUAAAAAUAACAUAUAUACCUCUUCAAAUGUAGAAAAUUAUCACAAAUACCCUUUUAUUCUAACGGACGUUAAGAUUAAAUUAUAAAAUGACUAAUUUACCCUUGGUUGGGUUGUUCUUCUGACAGCAACUAAUAAAAAAUAAUUUCAUAAAUACCCUUCAAAUUUUAAAAAUAAUAUUUUUAGUACUAAUUAUUGGUGGAUAAAAUAUGUGGAAACCCUCACCUAUAGGUCAUUUUGAAAUAGACCCCCUUAACUUCAAUUUUUUAACAUUAAGAGCCCUUGAACUUUUAGUUUUUUUUGUUUUUACAUUUUACUUUGUUAAAAGUUUUUCAAUUGAGAUCCCUCCUACACGAAUUUGAUAAAAUUUUUAACUUAGUUGGAAAAAAAAUACUCAAUUGCAAAAAUAAAGAAUCACAUAGGUUGAGAGGAUGUAUAUAUAUAUAUAUAUAAAGAGAGAGAGAGAGAGAGAGAAAGAGAGAGAGAGUCCGGCUACUAUACUCUUAUAAAUACGAUCGCCUUCGUACUCAUAAGUCGUUUUCAAUGAUAGAGCUUCUGAAUAGACCAUCCAUAGUUAAACAUCAUCUUGAACAGUUAAAACUUUUAAAAAUCAAAUUUUAUAAUUUUUUGAUAUUAUUUACCUUACGGUCAAAAGAUCUCAAAAUUGACAAUUGUUAACAGUGGGAUAUUUGCUAUUUUAACGAUAUAAAAGAAUUAGAAUUAAUUGAAUUUUUGAUAUGAAAUUAUAUUAACUAUCUAGAUAAAAAUCAACUUAUGAGUACCAAAGGCUAUCUAGAUAAAAAUCAAUUUUUAUUAUGAAAUUAUAUUAACUAUCAUCCAUUUUUUUGAUAUGAAAUUAUAUUAACUAUCUAGAUAAAAAUCAAUUUUUGAUAUGAAAUUAUAUGAAAUUAUAUUAACUAUCAUCCAUUUUUAGAACGUCGUUUGAUUUUGAUAAUUUAUUUUUUGCCCACUUUGAUAGACAUUAUUAUAAUUUCAAAAAAUUACAAAAUUUAUUUUCAAAAAUUUUAAAUACUCUAAAUCAUAUUUAACGAAUUGAAUCGUCGAUUCAAAAGCUUCAUUAUCGAAAACAACUUAUGAGUACGAAAGGCUCAAUACUCAUAAGAGUAUAGUAGCCCUACUUUUAUAUAGUCCGGCUACAGUACUUGUAAAAGCACCAAGCACUUGAUUGUUUUAAAUUUUUUACCUUCAGAUCUACCCUUUGAUUAUUUUCACCCGUUAGAUCUACUAUUUAAGUAACAACCCACUCAAUACUAGGGGUCCCACAUCAUCUAACCGCACAUCUCUUAAUCCAAUGGACAAAAAUUAAUCUACAACCACCAAUAACUUGAUACUUUCAAAAAGUAUAGGAGCUCAAUUAAUUUUAUAUAUNNNNNNNNNNNNNNNNNNNNNNNNNAUAUAUAUAUAUAUAUAUAUAUAUACUAUAUAUGAUAUCAUACUAUAUAUAUAAUAUAUAUAUAUAUAUAUAAUAUAUUAUAUUAUAUAAAAUUAUAUAUCGGUAGUGGCGGCUGCUGUGCUCUUAGUGAAGCACGGAAGGCCUCCGUGCUCCUGAGCCGUUCUUCGGAUGAUUAGAAUUUCGAAUCGAACGAUCGGCUGCGUUAGAUCUUAUUUAGCACAUUUGUAGUUUCUAGAAAAUAAUGUUUGCGAUUUUUUGAUAGUCAUACCUAGUGAGUCGAAUAAGAAAAAAAAAAAAAAAAAAAAAAAAAAAAAAAAAAACAAAAAAAAAAAAAAAAAAAAAAAAAAAAAAAAAAAAAAAAAAAAAAAAAAAAAAAAAAAAAAAAACAAAAACAAAAAAAAAAAAAAAAA
rnacentral:lncRNA from 1 species